CAUGCCAUUCACUGCUAGGUUUGUUAACUUUGUAUUAUUUUUGCAAAUGUUGUCUUCAGCUUUUAUUGGUUUUAUUAAUGGAAGUGUUUUGUCUUGCCAUUAGAGCUUUGGAAGAGAAGAGGGCUAGGCUUGGUUUACUCGAAUGCGUCAACCACGAGCUUUUGCAGCCAUAUCCUGUUUUGCACGAGAAGCCUGGUAACAAUAUUUUUAACUGGACAUGUUUUCCGGAAACCCUUACUUUCUCAAUCUCAACCUGAUUGCAUGAAUUGUUGAUUUUCGUAGGUGACUUUGUUGCUCGUAUCAAGUUCACCGUCUUGCUAAUGCCAAAUGGAUCAGACCGGAUCACAUCUCAUCCUGUACAGGAGCUGCAGCCCACUAAACAAGUAGAUGAUCCUGAAAUCAAAGCCUGGUUGUCUUUGGCCACAAAGAAGAAGAAAGGUGGUGGAAAGAAGAAGAAAGGUAAGACUCCGAUUUAAGCACGUCCUGGAGAGAUUGCAGGGUCGUUUUUUAGAGUUUGGAUUCUGAUGUCGUUGCACAUUGCAGGCAAGAAGAGCGAUAAGCCCGAGGAGGAGUCUGCAGAAGCUGAACCGAUGGACGCAACAACGAACGGUGCUGAGUCUCAAGCAUGAGCCUUAGUUGAUUCUAGCCGGGUUUCUCUAAUAUGCAUUUCCACAACUCGCUGUUUUUUUGUACGUUCUGAGAUUUUGUAGUCGAUUACCGUCAAAUUUAAGUUAUAUAUGAAAUGUUUUUGAAUUCUGAGAGCAUGUUUUCUUAACAGAGGAGGAAUUCGAACAACUUGGAAUCUGAACGAUUAACUCGUCCCACUUAAUCUAAUUCUUAAUUUAGGUCUGUUUACGGAUUUAAAAGAGAAAUCCACACUUUUCUGAUUUUUCCUAAAUGUUGAUUUGAUGUGCAUUAUCUUAUGAAAACGCACAAGAUAGGAGCUGUUUUCCACUGUUUUUCGUUUCUCAAUUACAUCUCUUUAUCCAUUGUCAUCAAACUGAAUAAAUCAAUGGAAAAAAUAAGCAUAGCAGUGCAGAAGUGGAGGAAAAAAUGUAUUUAUUUUUAGAUCCCAAAUCUUAUUAAGGUUCUCGAACAAGACACAUGAUUAAGGUUAUGACAGACGAUUUUCCCAAAAGCACUCGUGAUUUGAUAAACUAACAUCAUCUGCUAUUUAAUUUCAUGGUCGUUAAUAACACUACAAUCUAUUGGUAUCUUUUAUUUUUUGGGUCAAACGAUCUAUUUGUGUUUACUCUAUUUAAUACAUGCAAAGUCUCAAAUUUCACUUGUACACGAACAAAUUCGAUAAUUGGACUCGCUUCUAAAAAUUAUAUAUAUUUUUGGACCUGGAUCUAAUGAGGAAACUUAAUAUAAGUCUAAUUUUUUAAGCCAAUAGUAGGAAUAGUCCAGUUUAUAAAAAUAAGUUCAAUUCCUUAAAUUUAAUUAUUUAAUUAUCAAUAAUUAUCUCUUCAAUAAUAAGAUUUUAUAAAAAUCAAAUUUCUUCCUAAUUAUCUCUUUGAUUAUUUCUUUUUAUUUAUUAUUUUGUGUUUUGUUGUUCUUCCUACUGCUUUGAAUCCUAUUUAUUAUUAUUUUUAUAAUCAACCUAUAUCACAGGUUAAUUAUAUUUAUCUACCUAUAUAACAUGUUUUUUUUUAUAAUCAACAUGUCACAAAUUAAUGUGUCUUGUUUGUAGGUAUAUUAUGUUUUUUCUAUCUUUUAGUUAGGUUUCAUAUCUUAUUUAUAUGUAUAAUAUAUAUUCAUAUUUUUGUUCCUUGAGUUGGAGUAUAAUGUCUUACAGAUAGAUUUAUGUUAAUAUAUUAAUUUUUUUUUGUUAUAGAUAUUAGAAGAUUUUAAUUGAUUUUUAAUAUUUUUAGAAAAUAUAAAAAGAGUAUAAAAGAAAUAAAAAGGGAGCUUUAUAUAUAGAGACACAAAAUUUCACUAUAUUUCAAGAAACUCCACUUGUUUUUAAACAUGUCAAAAAGAGACAAAAACCAUAAAAACAACUAAAGUCCAACUCAAAAACAUGAAAACAAUGUUUUAAAAUAUCAAUAAUAUCCCUAAGGCUUUAGAGUUGUUAAUAAACUUAUUCUUCACAACUCCAACAAAAUUAAUAUGUGUCAUAAGCUAAACCCAUCAUUGACCAUUUUUGCAUAAUCAAUUCAACCCGCCUUCAAACAUUUUUGCAGAAUCAGUUCAACCUAUCAUUGACUAUUUUUGCAGAACUAGUUCAAUCAGUCAUCGAUCAUUUUUGCAGAAUCAGUUCAAACCGUCUUCGACCAUUUUUGCAGAACCAGUUCAACCGGUCCUUGACCAUUUAUGCAGAAUUAGUUCAAACCGUCUUCGAUCAUUUUUCAGAAUCAGUUCAACCCGUCCUCGAUCAUUUAUGCAAAAUCAGUUCAACCCAUCAUCGACCAUUUUUGUAUAAUCAGUUUAGCCCAUCUUCGACCAUUUAUGUAGAAUCAGUUCAACCCGUGUGCGAGCAUUUUUGCAUAAUCAGUUCAACCAGUUUUCGAUCAUUUAUGUAAAAUUAGUUCAAUCCGUCAUCGACCAUUUUUGUAGAAUCAGUUCAACCCGUUUUCGACAAUUUUUGCAAAAUCAGUUUAACCCGUCCUCGAUCAUUUAUGCAGAAUCAGUUCAACCUGUCAUCAACUAUUUUUACAGAAUUAGUUAAACUUGUCAUUGACCAUUUUUGCAAAAUCAGUUCAACCCGUCUUUAACCAUUCUUUGCAGAAUUAGUUCAACCCAUUCUUGACUAUUUUUGCAAAAUCAGUUUCCACAUCUGUUCUAAUUUAGGUACAUAGUGAACAAAAUGAGAUCCUUAAAUCCAAAGUAGAAAUCUCGUUCCAUCAUAAAAACCUUACAAAAAGAACAAUAAAUGCUAUCUUAAUUUUUCGAGUACAAAAAUCAGUCAUUUUUCCGUUAAGUUGUAAAAAAAUAAUAAUAUUGUUUGGUUUGUUUUACCAGGUCAGAGCAGGUGACAUAGAAAUGUACUUAAAUGAGUUUGCAAUAUUCAUAAGCAUAGAUAAUAUUAAGAAAACUAAUGAAAAGAGUUUGAAAGUUUUGAGUUUUAAUGAUAAGGAUAAAAUAAAGGGUAAAGUAAAUAGUAACAAGAUUGACUUUUUAGUGUAAAGUUAUGGUUUUUCGUUAGAGUGAACAGUAUCAGGAACUUUUCGUUAAAGUUCCCUAUAUACUUUGCAUCCAUUAAGCAAAAACAUUUCAAUUUUUUUAAUAUUUCAUAUUCUAAUUGGCAUAGCAAUAUAGGAUUACACUUGAAUACAAAGCCAGUGACCUUGGAGAUGAUGGUGAUCUUGUGCUCAUGCAAAUUGGAAUCUGAUAGUAAUUUGCUAUAUUGCUAUGCAAAUGUUAAUCUCGUGCUCAUGCUUGAGGAUGAUAGUAAUUUCCAGAUCAAUUUUCAUCGAAGCUUGUUCGUUCAACUUUCUCCCUGUAAUCGAACAAACAACAACGAAUCAUCAACAAAAAAACUCCAUGAUUCAGAGAAAAUCAACAAAAAAUUAAAAAAUUUCAUAUCAAAAUCUGCAGUGAGCUACAAAAUCGCAAAGCUUACCAUAGCGAUCAAAUUGGGAGGAUGUGAAGAGUAUGAGAAAGUCUUUGGAGUUUCUGAAACCGAUUUGGAGAGGGAUUUGAGUUAAUUUGGAGAGAAGACGUUGAGGAUGGAAGAAUUGAGGUUGAGAUGGCGAUGAAGGAAAAUCAGGUCAAUUUUUUGAAGAGAGAGAAAUAAGAGAGCAACAAAUGAAUCGAGAUAAAAGUGUGAAAAGAUUUUACCACUAUAAAACGGUAUUUUUGUAAGUUAAACCCCACAUAAAAAAAAGUCAAUAAUGUCAUAUUCCACAUUUAAUAACUUUUGUCUCUCCUUGAAAUGCUUAAAAAAUAUUAUCUUAAUAUGUAACUAGCAGAUGAGCACACACUCUGUAUGUGUGAACAACCGCUCACCUCCUCCCACAUUCUCCUCAAGUGCAACCGCUUCAGUUCAUUCAAACUAUCCAAAAAACAUCAUGAUUUCACUUAUGUGUAUGAAAAAAUGAUGGUAGAACAAUUUCUCUUAAUAAGUGCAUAUUUUUUUAUCUUAUGUAAAUAUUUCGAUAUAAAAUUACUAUUUGGCUAUUUUUAUGUAAAUAUUAUGUAUCAAAAGUGAGGGCAAAAUAGGAAAAAAAGGGAAAAGUUCAAAAGAUACAAAAUUACUAUUUUGCCCUCAUCAUGUUAACAUUGUGUAUUCAAAAGUGAGGGUAAAAUUGGAAGACAAUGGGGCACAAAGUUGACAAGCCUUCUUCUCUUAAUAGAAUAUACUAGUGUAUGGGCACACACAAAGUUUGUGAGAAAAUUUUUUAUUUUUGUUUUUGAAAUAGAAGGAGAGAGGAAGAGAGUGAUAGAGAAUGUGAGAGUGAGAAUUUUUUUUAAAAUUUUUUAAAUUAGAUAUAUGUUAGGAUUACAUGUAGGUGGGACUUUGAAAAAAAAAAAAACAAAAUUUGGUUGUGUGAAAUUACAUUUCUACCCCAUAUUUCUUAUUCAUAUUUUGUUUUAAUUAGAGGGUUAAACUGAUAAUUUUAUAGGGUUUUGGUUGACAAUGAGUGUUUUAUUAAUUAAUAGAGAUUUUUUUUUAAUUAGAGAUAUGUUAGGAUUACAUGUAGGUGAGGUUUUGAAAAAAAAAUAGUAAAAUUUAGUUGUGUGAAAGUACAUUUCUGCCCCAUAUUUCUUAUUCAUGUUCUGUUUUAAUUAGAGAGUUAAAUUGGUAAUCUCAUAGAAUUUUAAUUGACAAUGAGUGUUUUAUUAAUUAAUAAAGAUAAUAUAGAUAUAUAUUAAGUAUCAAAAGCAUACUCUAUAUGUAAUUUUUUUAAAAACAUAUAAUUAAAUAAUUUAACUCACUCCUAAAAAUCCACAAACCUAGAUCUAAAAGCCUCAUUGAUUUAUUGUGUUGCUACUUGUUAACCGAACCCCUUUGGUUAACCGCUAAAUUUUGUGGCGCCAAAGGCAUUCGUCUACGCUGACUCACCCAAACGCAGAGCGUGCUGGCGGUGCGUUUCCUUGACACAAUCAAGAACUCAAAUACCAUUGGUCAGUUUGCGUGGGAACACGUCAUACCGCCACGUGUACCUACCACCGAAGAUUCUGGAUUUGUUUGGAAUCCCGCGAAGCACCUUUAUAAGCCCUCGAUUUCAAUCUCCUCCCCCUCUCUCCGUCGCUCUCAGCCGUAAAAAUCCGACAAACCGCGAAGCUCGCAGCCGAAAAAUCUCAUUGUGAAUUUUCGUGAUCCGAUAUGGAGAACCGGUUCGCAGUCUACAUCUUCGUGUCGGCGCUGCUCUUCCUCUUAACCAUGGAAGCGAAAACUAUAGACCCUUACAAGGUACGGUUCUUGAUUUUCUCUCGAUUUUCUUCUAAUUUUUAAUUUUUCAUAUUUUUCCAGUCCAAUGUGGAUGAAUUGAAGGUAAAGAUAGGGGAUUUGAGUGUGGGGGUUUUGAUUGAAUGGCUUUCGAAAAACCCACGCUGGAUUUUGUGAUGAAAUGGUGCAAAAGGAGCAUAAUUUGAAAUUGGUUUUUAAUUUUAGCUGAUGAAUGUUUGGGUUUGUACUUAUUUACCCAUUUUUUCUGAAAUUGUUUUGAAAUUGUUGUCAGGUCCUUGGAGUGGAGCGGAAUGCAAGUCAGCGUGAAAUUCAGAAAGCGUUCCACAAGUACGUUCCAGUAACCCUUUAUGUAUAAUGUGCUUAAUAAUUGUGCUAAACCACGGAUAAUGAGAUAUUGUUUUUUGGGGUAUUAUUGGGUGGGUAUCGAAAGUAUUAAAGCUCACUGCUCAGGGUUCGUUGGGAUUGCUUCCCGAGGAAGUGCUUUUCUUAGAAGCACAUUGACAUUUCCAUUGAAAAUCCAAGUUCUUAGGCUUAAAAGUCCAAUUGCUCCUUCGUGAAGAAGCAUCUACUAGGUGCUUCCCAAAAGUGCUUCUAUGACCCCGAAGAACUUCUAACUUUUUUCUGUCAGACACAUUUAAUUUAGAAGUUUGUACUGAUUUUCAGGAAGGGCUUUUAUCCUUACCAAAUCCAAUCCGUAAUAGGCCCUUACUGUGACUCUACUUAUCGUUUAUAUAUCAUUUAGGAUGGUGGUCUCUGGGAAGGUCUGUUAUUGGGUUGGGACGAGUUGGGGCUAGCUUAAGUGACAAACUAUAAUUCUUCAGGCCUAUUUUUGGCACUGCUGUUGAGUUUUCAUAUGUGGCCUUGUUUUAAUAAGUGAUUAACUGUUCUUUGCCGUGAGGGCGACUUAGUGGUGAUGUUGAGCUGUUAAAGGACUUCAGCUUAAUGACAGCGAAUGCGUGUGUUAUUACAGCAUUUUAGACUUGUCAUUGUAAGCAGUCAGUGUUUGUUCCUUUUGUCUAAUUUGAUACUGUCUAGCAUAUGUUUCUCCUCAUGCUAUUAAAAAAAUAGAGAGUUUAUCUCCGUAAGUUAGGGUUGCUUAAUUUUCUUUAAUAAGGAAUAGAUGUUUCUGUGUAUGCGUCAGUUUUAUUGCUUCACAUUACGUAAGGGCCCGUUCUCUCCAGUUCUGUCUCUUUAUGUGUUUGUGUGUGUGCUUGUGCAUUCGCAACGUAAAUGCUAGUGUGACAUGCUUUUUACCAUAUUCAUGCUAACUUGAAUAAUGCCUUCUAGGCUCUCUCUUCAAUAUCACCCAGACAAGAAUAAAAGCAAGGGAGCUCAAGCAAAGUUUGCUGAGAUAAACAAUGGUAUGACUUCUCCAAGUUCUCUUCAGUAUUGAUUCCUUUCCUCUUUCCUAUUUGGUUGAAGCUAUCUCAAUUCUUAUUUACCUAUCCUGUUGUAGUAGCCACAUCCUUAUAAGUUUGUACUUAAUAUCGUUUUGUUUCUUUUUCCUUGAUUAGCAUAUGAGAUUUUAUCUGAUGAAGAGAAGAGGAAAAAUUAUGAUAUGUAUGGAGAUGAAAAGGGAAAUCCUGGAUUUGGAGCUGGUUCCCCUGAAGAUCAUGGUGAAUAUACUUACUUCACAAAUGGUGGACCAGGUCAGAACCACUUUACCUAUGGACCUGGUGACUGGCAGAGCAUGGGUGGGCAGGGAGGUUCCAAGUCAUUCUCUUUUUCCUUUGGAGGUCCCAGUGGUCCAAGUUCAUUUAGUUUUGGUAUGGAAGACAUUUUCUCAAACUUUUUUGGGGGUAAACCUGGAGGUGGGGGUCAGUUUGAUGGUUUCAGUGGUUCAACUGGGUCUCGACCUGGUUCUCGGCCUGGGUCUAGGACUUCUCCGGUGAGCAUUACAACCAUCAGUCCACAGGUGUAUAAGAAAGAAAUAGUUCACCGAGGGAUGACUUGGCUCCUGUUCUCUUACACUCCUUCAUUGAAAGGGAAGCAACAUGUUGAAAAUAUCAUAGAGGAAGUUGCGAGUUCCCUGCAGGGAGCCUUAAAGGUAUGUUAAGAUUCUUACUCAUUCCUUACAAUAUGACUGCCUUUGGUCUCCAGGUAUGCUCAUUCUUUCGUUCUAUUCUGUCAGGUUGGAAGCAUAAACUGUGAGACGGAACCAUCUCUCUGCAAGGACCUUGGCAUAUACCCCAGCAGAAUGCCCAGAGUAUUUGUGUACAAAGUGAGUGAAAAGGGUUCUUUGGUUGAGUAUGAUGGUGAUUGGGCUGCAAAACCUUUGAAGUCAUUUUGCCAAGACAAUCUGCCAAGGUUUUCGAAACGGGUUGACUUGAACCGCUUCGAGUCUUCCACUUUUACAACCAAUAAAUUACCUAGUGUGGUGCUUCUUUCCACCAAGAAAGAUACACCUGUUAUCUGGCGUGUCCUCAGUGGAUUGCAUCACAAUCACUUCAGUUUCUAUGAUGCAGAGGUAUGUGGUGAUUUUUGUCAGUUAAUCUACUCAAUUUUCCUUUUCUGAAUCCUUUCGAUAUAUGAAGAAUGUGGCCAUAUAAUAUGUGUGUGUGUAUUGACUAUAUAUUUUUAUAUGUAUGUGCGUAUAUGCAUAUGAAAUGCGUAGGGUGUAAGGAUGACCAUGGUACUUCUACGAUGAAGUGAAUCAUAUACUUUUCCUUCAGGGAAAAGAAGCUUUAGUUGUUUUCAUUCACCUUACAGUUUUUCAUUGAUAACAAUCUUGAGUUUUUGUAUAAAAAAAAAUCAUUUCAAAAUGAUCAUGCAGGUCCACGAUGCUUCUGUUCCAACAGUGAAGAAGCUGGGAGUUGGUGCACUUCCAGCUAUAGUUGGUUGGCUUCCGAACGGGGAGAAGCAUGUCUUAAAAGCAGGCAUUACCACCAAAGAUAUGAAGUCUACAAUUAAGGAGCUCAGUGCUUUACUCGAAGGUUUUGAAAAAAAGAGCAAGAAGGCAGCUUCAAGUCAGGCCAAGAAAUCACCGACUGAUUCGGGGGAGAAUCAAGUACCUCUAUUGACACAUUCUAAUUUUGAUGCCCUUUGUGGUGAGAAAACUCCAGUUUGCAUCAUUGGCGCAUUCAGAUCUUCCAAAGCAAGAAAUACGCUGGAAUCAAUUUUGACUGCGGUGAGUAUACUUUCGCUUUUAUAGACUCACUACUAUAAAGAACAUCCGGUUUCUCACAUGACAAUGGUCUUCUUAUGGAAGUUGAAAGAGUAACGUUAUAAGUUCUCUAUAUUUUCGUUUUCAGGUCUCUCGGAAAUCGCUAUCAAGGCGACAGAGUUCAGCUCAGGGCAAGGAUUCUGUUUCCUACACUCUCUUGGAUGCCGCCAAGCAGGCGACCUUCUUAAAUGCUUUCGACGAAGCAGGAUUUCAAUCAUUAGAGAAGGUCUUGGUUGCCUACAAACCUCGGAGGGGGACAUUCGCGGCAUUUGGCGGUGAAAUGACUACAGAAGAAGUAGAGGGGUUUAUUAGCUCUGUGCUUAACGGGGACAUACAUUUUACCAAAACACGGCAGAAACCCGUGCUCAGGUGAGAGGAAAGGUCGGAUCACGUAGCUCGUGGCUUUCGCGUACAUAGCUUCACUACUUUGAGUACAGAAAAGAUAAACAAUUUUUAGACUACAGUUAAGGAGACUGAGUUUUGGCCCUGGUUGCGACGUCGGGUCGCCGUACAAACUUGGAGGAGCAUCCAUUGUUUCGUAGUGUAGGAGAAGUGUUCCUCCAACCCCAGAAAAGUGGUCUUGUAAUGCCAUGGUAAAAGUUUCAUACCUUUUCGUUGUAUGAAACUAUGAAUCAUGUAAUUUAUUUUCCUUGGUGUAGAAAUUGUUAGGGAUGUCGGUACUACAAGAUAGAGAAUGCACAAGGUAAAGUAGAAAAUGGACACCAAGAAUUUAUGUGGUUCGGCAAUUUAUGCCUACGUCCACCAAACAAGGAUCAAUCUUCACUAUAUGAAAAAGAUGAAUACAACAAGAGUAGUCUUACCAAGCCAAAGACAAGGCUUGAUGGAUACAAGAAAGUAUAACACACACUUUCUAUCACUCUAAACUUCACUCACACAAUGUGUAGUGGAACACUCUCACUCUCACUCUUGGAGUGGAACUCUAGCUUUGGACUUGAUCCUUUGCUACUCACUCUUGGUUCUCAAUUGGUUACAUCACACCCAUAUUUAUAGGUGAGGGCUUGGCAUUCUACUAGUUUCUAGUUCCUUCUUCAAACCUCUAGUAUAGAAAAAUCUAGACUAGCCACAUACUUGUAGCUUCUAGAUCUUUCCAUUUGCAACCAAGGAAGCUAGUACUCUCUAGCUUCUUCCAUCAACUUAAUAACAUGCUAGAAUUGUCUAGCAAGCUCCAGCCUCAUCUCUUGCUUACUAGAAUAAUCUAGAACAUUGAUCAUGGGCUGGACCAUAUACCAACAAUCUCCCCCUCCAGUCCAUGAGGGAGGAAUUCCGAUCAUGACUCCAAGUUACCUGGAGUUCAUCCCAGCAGCCUUAAUGCAGAAUUCCAACUUUGAUUUUGUGACUACCUUUGUCAACAUGUCUGAAGAAUUAUUAUCGGUAUGAAUCUUCUUCAGCUGUAGCAACUUGUUCUCGAUAGCGUCUCUAAUCCAGUGAUAACGAAUAUCAAUGUGCUUAGUGCGUGAAUGAUAUGUAGUGUUCUUGCUCAAAUCCAGAGCACUCUGACUAUCACAAUAAACGCCAUAAUCACUUUGCUUCAAACCCAACUCUUGGAGAAACCGCUUCAGCCACACAACAACUCCUUGCAUGCUUCUGUAGCGGCUAUGUAUUCAGCCUCAGUUGUGGACAAAGCAAUGCACUUUUGUAACUUGGAUUGCCAAGACACGGCUCCCCCUGCAAAAAGUAAACAAGUACCCAGACGUAGAUUUUCUACCAUCCAGGUCACCUCCCAUGUCAGCAUCUGUAAAUCCUUCCAAGAUUGGUUUGGAAUCGCCAAAGCACAAGCACAUCUUAGAAGUCCCCUUCAAAUAUCUGAGAAUCCACUUAACAGCUUCCCAGUGGUCCUUCCCUGGAUUAGAGAGAAACCUGCUCACCACACCUACUGCAUGAGCAAUAUCUGGCCGUGUGCACACCAUUGCAUACAUGAUACUUCCUACUGCUGAAGAGUAGGGAACAACUGCCAUUUUCUCUCCUUUUCUUCAUAUGUUUUUGGACACGACUCUUUGCUCAACUUGAUAUGAUUGGCUAAAGGUGAGCUUACCGGUUUGGCUGCUUUCAUGUUGAACCUUUCAAGCACCCGUUCAACAUACUUUUCUUGUGACAGCCACAACUUCUUGGAUUUUUCUGUCACGAAUUAUCUCCAUGCCCAAAAUCUGCUUGGCUGGCCCUAAGUCCUUCAUGUCAAAGGACUUAGAUAACUCUUCUUUGAGCUUUUUAAUCAUAGAAGCAUCUUGUCCGACAAUCAACAUGUCAUCAACAUAAAGCAAUAAGAUGAUGAAUGUACCUCCAGAAAAUUGUUUGAUAUAGACACAAGAGUCAGCAUGAGUUCUCUUGUACCCAUUACUCACCAUGAAUGAGUUGAACUUCUUAUUCCACUGUCUCGGAGCCUGCUUAAGACCAUAUAAACUUUCUUUGAGCUUGCACACCAAAUUUUCUUUACCUUUGACUUCAAAGCCUUUGGGUUGCUCCAUGUAUAUCUCCUCUUCUAAAUUGCCGUGGAGAAAUGCAGUUUUAACAUCUAACUGCUCGAGCUCAAGAUCCAUGCUUGCUGCCAUACCAAGGAUAACUCGAAUGGAAGUCAUCUUCACCACCGGUGAGAAAAUCUCAUCAAAGUCAACUCCUUUCUUUUGACCAAAACCUUUGACAACCAAACGAGCCUUGUACCUUGUCAUGUUGUCGUCUCUUUUCAAUUUGAACACCCACUUGUUUUUCAAUGCUUUCCUGCCCUUUGGAAGCUCCACCAGCUCAUAGGUAUCAUUCUUUGAUAAGGAAUCCAUCUCCGACUCCAUUGCCUUCAUCCAUUUGUCACUGUCGUUAUGAGCUCUGGCCUCCUCAUAUGUUUCGGGCUCUCCAUAAUUAGUCAACAUGAUAUACUCUGAUGAAGAAUACUUGGUAGACGGUCUUCGACUUCUGAUGGAUCUUCUGACCUGAUCUUCAUUCUCUUGUAGGGCUGGAGGCUCCCCCUGAUUAGGUUCUCCUUGAAUAUGCUCUUCUUGACUAGGCUCCCCCUGAUGAGCAAUCUCAUGGUUUGGCACAUCUUGAUCAGGCUCCUCUUGAUUAGCAUUAUCUGAUUCUGCAGGCAUUUCAUUGGCAGUUGCUUCAGGGAUGUCAUCGUGACUUUCUUCAUCUGAAGCUAAUGGAUCAACUCCUCUGACUGCGCCAUCUGGUUGUGCCUCUUUAUCCGAAUCCCCAAUUGUUUGUUCUUCAUAAAAGACCACGUCUCUACUUCGGAUAAACUUCUUCUGGUAUGGGUCCCAUAAUCUGUAACCAAAAUCUUCACCGCCAUAACCAAGAAAGAUGCACGGUGUAGCUUUGUAGUCUAACUUCGAUCUCUGCUCUUUGGGCACAUGCACAAAAGCUUUGCAACCAAACACCUUCAGAUGAGAGUAAGAACACAUCAUUACCAGUCCAUACUCUCUCUGGAACAUCAAGACCUAAUGGUACUGAUGGAGAUCGGUUGAUCAAAUAGCAGGCUGUCCUUACAGCUUCACCCCAGAACUGCUUAGAUAACUUUGCAGUCCUCAACAUACACCUGACUUUCUCCAUGAUGGUUCGGUUCAUUCUUUCAGCAACACCGUUAUGUUGUGGAGUUCCAGGAACUGUCUUCUCAUGACGUAUGCCAUGUUUUACACAAUACUCUCUAAACUGGUGAGAUGUGUACUCGCCGCCGUUGUCGCUACGAAGGCACUUGAGAGGUUUCCCAGUUUCCCUCUCCACCAUGGCAUAGAACUCCUGGAAUGUCUGAAACACCUGGUCUUUGGAUUUCAACAAAUACACCACACCCCUUCGUGAAGCAUCAUCAAUAUAAGUAACAAAAUAUUUAUUUCUUCCAAGUGACUCGACUUCCAUGGGACCACACACAUCUGAAUAAACAAGAUCUAACAAGUUUCCUUUCUUUGUAGAUGGAACAGAAAAACUAACUCUUCUUUGUUUUUCCGAAUAAACAAUGCUCACAAGAGUUUAACGACGUACCUUCGGUAAAGGGAAUGUGAGACUUCUUUGCCAAAACUUGUAGGCCUUUCUCGCUCAUGUGGCCUAGCCUCUUAUGCCACAAGUCUAGAGAUGAGUCUUCCACAGCAUUCAACUCACCUUUCAAAACCUUGGCAUUUGACCGGUACAAACGUACAACAAAGUCGUGCUCUUGCUACCACCAUUAAGCCUUUAGUAAGCUUCAAUUUUUCCUUCGCCAAUAUGGUGAUAAUAUCCUUGUCGAUCAAGGGUACCGAUGGAUAUCAGAUUGAGACGUAUAUCAGGAAUAUGUCUCACAUCUUUCAACAUCAAUUGGCAGCCGAGAUUAGUUCUUAAGCAGAUAUCACCAAUUCCAAGAAUUUUGGAAUAGCUUUCAUUCCCCAUCUUCACUAUGCCAAAGUCACCUUCUUUGUAUGUACUGAAGAACUCCCGUUUGGACGUAGCAUGGAAGGAAGCUCCAUUAUCAAAAGAUCCAUUCAAUGUCUCUGUCAGAGUUGCCUAUAUGCAGACAUUCACCAACAGACAAUAUUUCUGGUACAUCACCACAUAUGACAGCGGUGGUAUUGCCAGUAUCAUCUUUUCUUCUGAUUGUUUCCUUCCCUUUGCUCUCUCUUCCAAACUCGACAAUUUUUCUUCAUAUGGCCUUCUUUGCCACAAUGGUGGCAUGCACCCCUGAACCUUGACUUGGAUCGGCUAGGACUCCUGCCAUGACCUCUAGGCCCUCUACUCGUGCUUCUUCCGCGGUUCUCUGUGACAAAUACUUGGCUGCUAUUUGUGCCAGAAGUCUUUCUCCUUGUUUCUUCAUUGAGCAUGCUAUUUUUAACAUUAUCAAGAGUAAGAACACCAUUAGAAGCAGAGUUACUUAUACUCACCACAAAGGUCUCCCAACUGUCUGGCAAGGAUCCAAGUAACAAGAGCGCUUGUAGCUCGUCCUCGAUCGUCAUUUUCAUAGUAGCCAACUGGUUGAUGAUAUUCUGGAAAUUGUUCAAGUGUUCUACUACACUUAAACCAUCCUUGUACUUCACAUUGAUGAGCUCUUUGAUCAAGAAGGCUUUCUUGGCUGGGGUCUUCUUCUCUCGAACAAGGACUCAAGCUUCGUCCAAAACUCGCGAGCAUUGGUUUCAUUAGACACAUGGUGAAAAACACUAUCAUCCACCCAUUGUCUAAUUGUGCCAAUAGCCUUGCGAUUCAUCUUCUUCCACUCGGCAUCGGACAUGCUCUCGGGGCUUAGCGGCAUCUCCUUCAAUUGGCUCAUGCAAAUCCUUGCAAUAGAGAAUGUCCUCCAUCCUUGGCUUCCAUGUUACCCAAUUGGAGUUGGUGAGUUUGAUCAUAGUGGCCACUUCCUUCCAUCUCGUAGUACGAGCCAACCGGGCUCUGAUACCACUUGUUAGGGAUGUCGGUACUACAAGAUAGAGAAUGCACAAGGUAAAGUAGAAAAAUGGACACCAAGAAUUUAUGUGGUUCGGCAAUUUAUGCCUACGUCCACCAAACAAGGAUCAAUCUUCACUAUAUGAAAAAGAUGAAUACAACAAGAGUAGUCUUACCAAGCCAAAGACAAGGCUUGAUGGAUACAAGAAAGUAUAACACACACUUUCUAUCACUCUAAACUUCACUCACACAAUGUGUAGUGGAACACUCUCACUCUCACUCUUGGAGUGGAACUCUAGCUUUGGACUUGAUCCUUUGCUACUCACUCUUGGUUCUCAAUUGGUUACAUCACACCCAUAUUUAUAGGUGAGGGCUUGGCAUUCUACUAGUUUCUAGUUCCUUCUUCAAACCUCUAGUAUAGAAAAAUCUAGACUAGCCACAUACUUGUAGCUUCUAGAUCUUUCCAUUUGCAACCAAGGAAGCUAGUACUCUCUAGCUUCUUCCAUCAACUUAAUAACAUGCUAGAAUUGUCUAGCAAGCUCCAGCCUCAUCUCUUGCUUACUAGAAUAAUCUAGAACAUUGAUCAUGGGCUGGACCAUAUACCAACAGAAAUGAAAGACCAAAUUUUACCCGAAAAUAUCAAAUAUCAAAUAAGAUGGACGAGGUCUGAAAUUUGAGUUCAUGCUUUAGUACUUACUACGUUUGCGUCUUGCUGAUUUCUUUGCUUCUACUCGAUUUCAUUUGUUAUAGGCGUAUAGCACGUCUACGUAUUUAAUAAAGCAAUACUACGUUUAUCAUAUUUUUUGGGUGAGAAAUUAUGAAUUCAAAGGUUACGCUCUUGAAGGCCUUUGAAACGAGAAGUUUGUACAUCUUUAAUAAAGGUAGGGUCGAGAAGUAUAUAUGGGUUCUAUCUUUAUUGAAAAUGUGGCACAAAUGUGUUACUAAAUAUGUGACAAAAAGUAGCAUUUUUGUAUUUAUUAAUAUAUCAGAUUGUAUUGAGCGGUGAAUUGUCAUCAUGAUUAGAGUUUUUUUUUUUUUUUUCGAAAUGCGUCGCAAGUUUAAACUAUUCCCUCAACUUAAUGCAGAUAAGUGGUGCUUUGUUCAAUUUAUUAUCUUAUUUCUACACCCACUUUAAAUUUUAUUAAUAUAUUUAACUUAAUGUAUAAUGACCUUAAACAAAACAAGAUAUUCUAAAGAUUAAAAAGUGAUAAAUCUUAUCGUCUAAAGAUUAUAAUGUAAUAAAACCAUUUUUGUUGGCAAACAGAUGGAAUACUCAAUAACUCACUAUUUCGGACUGGAACUUUUUGUGCCAAUCUUCUUGAUUUCAACGAUAAGAGUCUUUGAAGAACAGAAAAAGACGAGGCCUCAUCUAUGUGGGACUUUUCUUGAUAAAAACCAGUAUGAAUGCAAGAGAGAAGACGAGAAGACAUGUAUAGGGAGACUGGAGAGAAUUUGAAUUCAUCCUUGCCGGUAGUUCAUGGUCCGAUGCGGAACUUAGGAGAGAUGUGGGUGUUUGUCGUCGUCGCGACGGGUUGGUGCCUUGGUGGAUACAAAUGCUAGGUUCUUUGAGUUUUCCUUCGGUUUUUUGAUUUAUUUUAUUUGUUUCAAAUUAAAGAAGUACAUCAAGAUUAUUUCAGGAAUAAAGGUGGAUGAGUAAGGAGCAUUUUCACUUUUCAAUUUUUAGUGGUGCGUGGGAAUAUAAGGUGAGGUGGGAAAAUAUAACUGGUGGGUUGCAUUAGCAUCACUUAUGAAGAAUGCUAGUAAUCUUGCAUGUGGUUUAAUAUUCUAGUGUUGUGCGUAUCCUCAUAUGUAUUUUGGGUUCAAAACUUUCUCCUCUUCUAAUAAUAUUUCAAACCCUCACCUCUUAAUAUUUUUUUUUUUUGAAAAAUAAGAAUGAUGGUAACCUUAUUCUUUUGAAUGUUUUUCCACUCUUUUUAUCCUGUAAAGUUCUACAAUGAUCCAAACUGUCUAUUUCUUAUAUUAAAUACUGAAAUUUUAAUAAAAAUAAUUCAAACAGUCAUGAUUUCUAAUUUAGUUAAAAUUAAACUAUAAAUGGUGAACGGGAAACUAAACUGUUUGAUUAUCACAACAUUAGAAAUUAAAAAGAAAAGUACAAAAAAUAGAACGAAAAGGUCCUAGUGGAAAAGUUUGAUAACAUCACCUUAUACAAAUGGUCAUGGGCACGUGAAGUCUGGUUGUGAGUUUGUACAUGCACAUACGAGCGGAGUUGAAUUCUCUUCCGGUUUUAAUUUAUCUUUUUUUUUCUUCUAUUUAAAUAGUUAUAAUUAAGUCAUAUUAAUAUUUUGUUUUAAAUUGUUUACAAAUAAAAAUAAAAUCAUGAGAAGAGGAAAAAGAAAUAAGAAAAGAGAAUUCUAACUCCGGUACGAACAUUCCCGGUUAAAGAAUGGAAGGAAUGUUAUUGAGAUAGCAAAUUCAAGGCUUGUUUUGUUGCCGACGAAGUCUGAAUUAAAUUUGAUUAUUUGCAGUCUUGCGGUGCAUCAUAUGAAUAUGAUAAUCUAAGAGACGUUCAGUCACGUCACGUGACUCGGUUAGCGGCAGCGGUGGCGCCACCGCAUACCCUUCUCAAUUCAUUAUUAAUCACGACAAAGCUUUUUAUUUUUAUUUUUUUAUUCUCUUAAGAUAGUCUUACACUUACAGAGGACAUAGACUUAUUUGCAUUAGGAAUGUUUCCACAAUUUAAUUAAUUAUACAUAUUGGCAGGCGUUUUAAUUUUUUUAUAUGAUGAUUAUGUGAUUGAUUUGAAGUGCAUUAUGUAAUCGGGCUUGUAGAGUCGUCUAAUAGGAAGUUGUCAUAUUGUUAUAAUUAGGGCCGGAUUAAUCAAGACAAGAAAAUGACGUUUAUCUGUAUUUGUGAGAGAAUGUGAGACUGGAGAAAAAAACCUUUGCUCUAUUGAAAUUCUUUUUUCAUUAGCUUGAGAUACAAUCACUAUUUAUUGCAUGAUAGUUAAUCCCGCGGUAAUUGACAUUAGAUAGAUUCUAUGUCAAUAAUCUAAUAAUUAAAAUCUAACGAUAGAAAAUUUCUUUGUAUAAGAUACACCGUAACAUACUAAUUUUUUUUACCACACAUAAUGCUCGGCACCCAAAAGAAAUAUGAGAAUCAUAUACUUUUUUUUUUUUAUCCUAAUACACUCUUAUUUAAUAUAUGAGCAUGAACAAAAAGUAAAUAUGAUGAUACAUUGGCGAAAAACCAAACGUUGCAAGUGCUUAUAAAAAUGUUAUACCGCUUUUUAUAUUCCUGAUUAAUUUUACGAUGAAAUCUCAACUUUUUUCAUUAAACAGAAUGCGCGCCAUUUCCAGUGUUCUAAAAAACGGCCUAGGCGGCCGCCUAGGCGCCUAGCAACCGAGGCGUUUUUGGGCAAAUCGGGAGGAAAAAUCGGGUUGGGCCUAGGCGGCGCCUAGGCGGUCUAGGCGGGCUGGGCGGGCUAGGCGGUCCUAGGCGGUCCUAGGCGGCCCUAGGUGGCCCUAGGCGGUCCUAGGCGUUUUUUUUUUUUAUUUUUUAUUAAUUGCGUCUUUUUCUUUUUUUUGGUUUCAAUGGUGUAAAUACUAUGGAAAGGUAAUUCUAAUUUGCAAAAUGAAAUGGAUUUACUACAAAGUUCAUCCAAUUACUUAAUUAGGGAAAUAGUGUACCUAAUUUCAUUUUAUCAUUGUUUUAUUAUCCAUACAGUAAUUUUUUUAGGUGUCAAUAUGCACUUAUUUACAAGAUAUACAAGAAAUUUACCUAAAUCCGCCUAGGCCACCUAGGCACCUAGACGCUAGGCGCUAACCCGCCGCCCGACUAGCGCCUAACGUUUUUUAGAACCUUGGUCAUUUCUCUUUCAAAAAUUUGAUCACCUAACAUGAGUGUAGGGCCCACAAUUCGUAUUUAUGCUUUCAAAACAGUCUCUCAUGCCUGGUCCAAUUUACUAUUUAUUUAGUACAAAAAGGGCUGCCUCGUCUGUGACUGCAGUGCAAAAAGGCUCACAUUCAUGCCUGUGAUUGAGUGCCACGUCACAACCAUAACAUGUUAUUUAGUACGUACGUGUCCAACACUGACUGUCGAGAUGUGCAUGCAUACAACUUGCUUAAUUUAAUUUGUUUAAUUAUACCACUAAUUAAUUAAAUUAUGAAAUCCAAAAAUCUUCGAAUUUGCAAUUACCAGCAACUCCUCCGGUUUCCACAAACCGUGGAUUUCGGUCCUUCUAAACCUUUGAUCACGGUAUUGUCCCCCUUUACGUCGCCGUUUCAACCCCACCAACCUUGUAGUCGUUUUUCUCGUUUGAGUCCACGAGAGUGACAAUUACGCCCCAAGACAACUAAUCAGAAAGCGACGUGUCGUUGAUCGCCGGCCGCAAGAUGUUACAAUUUAAAUUGUUAUUUUCGGGAUUAGGAAAAGAAAAGAUUACAGCAAAUAAUUAGUUGACGUAUUUUCUUCAGGACCAAGAAAAUACGUCCACCGCCAUUGUAAUUUUAUUUUUUUACCGCUGGUUGUUAUAAUUACUGUAGUAAAUUUUCCUUUUUGACAAUUUGUUAAUCUUCCACGUUCUGGAUGUGGAUGUAAUGGCCACAAUAUUUGAAUUGAAAGCGCUACUAGUAAAUUGACUUUGCCACUAAACUAAGCCACACACAAAAACUAUGACAUUUCCAACUCAUAAACCAAAGGAAAAAAAGAAGAUUAGGACAAGAUGGUGGUCCUUGGUCUCAUAAUACAAAGUGUUCUACCUAUGUGAUGAGAAUGAAAACUAAAAUUUUUCAUCGUCAAUAACAUCGUCUUGUCAAACAAAGGGUUUUACGUAACAUAUGAUAAUGCCUUAGUUCCGUAUAAUCAAACUACAUAUAACCGAUUAUAUGAAAAAUUUUGAACAUAUUUUUUUAUACGUGAGGUAUUCUGCCAACUAACCUAAUCACUACCCGUGUCUUAAAAAGAAUUGAACGUUUAGAUAACAAUAUACUAAAGAGGCGGAUUCGUGACAUCAAUUUUUUACAUAAUCUGAAUUGUCUAUCUUUUAACCUACUAUUAAAAAUCAUGUCUAUCGAAAAUUAGCAAAAUCUAAAAUCAUUGGAUUAGGAAUUUAGUAAGAUCAAUAGGAAAAAAAAUUAGAAUUAUUAUUCGAGUGAUAUCAAUAUAGCAAGCUCAACACACAUUCUACAAAGUAUAUUUUUAUUUGGGAAAAAUAAUUUCACCAGCAUAUUAUGAUUAACUGGACAAUUAGAAAUUUCUAGUCCUUUCCAAUCUAAAGAUUUUUAACCAAAAAAAUCGUAAAAUUAAUUGAUAUUAUAAUCCUUGCGCGCCACUCAUUUGCCCAGUAUUUAGAAUCUACUGCAACCCACUGCCUUGACCAUGAAAAACCGCCCCUAGUAUCUUCCACCCACUGCCGACCACCUAUAAAAACCCUCCUCCUUCCAAACCAAUUUCCCAAACCAAAUUCCAAAAACCCCAGAAAACCCAAAUCCCAUCACAAAGUUCCCAUCUUUUCUCUUUUCCGAGUUGUUUUCAAAAACGGUUUUUGAGUACGAUCAUAACCCAGUACCCUCCAUGGACACAAAGAUCGGAUCCCUCGAUGUCUGCAAGCCGGCGUGCACCGACGUCGGGAGCCUCCCGAACGGCGCCGCUUCGGCAAUCCAGAGCUCUGCCCCCUCUACCGUGAUCAACUCCUGCGACGCCACUCUUGGUCGCCACCUCGCGCGCCGACUCGUCCAAAUCGGCGUCACCGACGUGUUCACUGUCCCUGGUGAUUUUAACUUGACUCUGCUCGACCACCUCAUCGCCGAGCCCGGACUCACCAACAUCGGCUGCUGCAACGAACUCAACGCCGGGUACGCUGCUGACGGCUACGCGCGGUCGCGGGGAGUCGGCGCAUGUGUUGUUACUUUCACUGUGGGUGGGCUCAGUGUUCUCAAUGCAAUUGCCGGAGCUUACAGUGAGAAUCUUCCAUUGAUUUGUAUAGUUGGAGGGCCGAACUCGAACGAUUACGGGACGAACAGGAUUCUUCACCACACUAUUGGGUUGCCGGACUUUAGCCAAGAGCUGAGAUGCUUUCAGACUGUAACUUGCUAUCAGGUUAGUAUGAAAUCAAGAUUUUGGCUUUUUAAUUUAUUUUGGAAGUUGAAUUUUGAUGAUUUUUAUUGGGUUUUGUGAAAGAUUUGUAGUGAGUUUGGUUUUGCUAAAUUUGGAAUGUGGGUUUUUACUUGGAUGUGGUAAAUAAUCACAAGAAUUUACCAUGUUUGUUUAUUUUCUUGUUCAAAUUUAAUUUCAAUGAUUGUUAUUGGGUUUUGAUAGAUUUGGUAAAAAAGUUAGUGAGUUUGAUUUUGCUUAAUUUGGUAUGUGGGUUUCACUAAGCAGUGGUAAAAAAUCUGGAAGUUGUACAUGAAUUUACCAAGUUUGGUUUUGUAUUUGCCAUUUAUUUCAAUCAAUUUUUUUUUUGGGUUUUGAUGGAUUUGUUGAAGAAUUCAUAUUCAUUUGAAUUUAUUAAAUUAAUGUUUGGUUUUUUGCACUUUCUUGGUUCGUUUUUUAAAGUUUGCUAAUUUUGGUAUGUGGGUUUUUACUAGGCUGUGGUGAAUAAUCUGGAAGAUGCGCAUGAAAUGAUCGAUACCGCAAUUUCAACUGCUUUGAAAGAAAGCAAGCCUGUUUAUAUCAGCAUAAGCUGCAACUUGGCUGGAAUUCCCAUCCUACAUUUAGCCCCGGAUCCUGUUCCAUUUUCUUUAUCUCCAAAGUACACAUUUUUGGGUUUCUGAUUCCAUUUGGUUGAACCGUUCUGGAAAUGUUUAUUUUAGGUGUGAAAUUUAUAUGUUUGUUUUGUUUUGGUCUGCAGAUUGAGCAAUAAUUUGGGCUUAGAGGCUGCGGUGGGAGGCGGCUGCAGAGUUUCUUGAACAAGGCAGUGAAGCCGGUUAUGGUUGGUGGGCCUAAACUUCGAGUUGCACAUGCCGGCGAUGCCCUUUGGUUGAACUUGCUGAUGCUAGUGGUUAUGCUCUGGCUGUCAUGCCAUCUGCAAAGGGGUUUGUACCAGAGCACCACCCCCAUUUUAUUGGAACAUACUGGGGUGCUGUGAGCACUGCCUUUUGCGCCGAGAUAGUGGAGUCCGCAGAUGCAUACUUGUUUGCUGGACCGUUUUCAAUGACUACAGUCUGUUGGAUACUCUUUUUGCUUAUCAAGAAGGAGAAGGCCAUUGUGGUGCAGCCUGAUCGCGUGACCAUAGCAAAUGGCCCUUCAUUUGGUUGUGUUCUUAUGAAGGAUUUCCUCAGAGCUCUUGCAAAGAAGCUCAGGCACAACAACACUGCUCAUGAGAACUACCGCAGGAUCUUUGUUCCCGAUGGACACCCUCUAAAGUCUGCACCGAAAGAACCUUGAGGGUUAAUGUUCUGUUCCACCACAUCCAGAAUGCUGUCAAGUGAAACUGCUGUGAUUGCUGAGACAGGGGACUCAUGGUUUAACUGCCAGAAACUGAAAUUGCCGGCUGAUUGCGGGUAAGCCAAGGAGAGAAUGUAGUUUUUCAUGUUUCCUUUUAUGUUAUAUAGUUGAUUUAAUUGGGAAGUUGGAAUUGGGUUUGCAGGUAUGAGUUCCAAAUGCAAUAUGGAUCAAUCGGUUGGUCAGUUGGAGCAACUCUUGGGUAUGCUCAGGCUGUUCCUCAGAAGCGUGUGAUUGCUUUCAUCGGUGACGGGAGUUUCCAGGUACAUUUAAUCUUCUCUAGCACUCUCUAAAUUGUAAAGUACCCUUAACAACCUUAUCAAAUUUACUCAGUUAAUUACUCAGAUUUGUAGCAUAACAUUUCAUCAAUAUCACGAAUCAUCGGUCUUUUCAAUGUUUUGUUCAUGUGUUUAUGCUUUCAUUGUUUCAAUGCCUAAUAGGUGACUGCUCAAGAUGUGUCCACCAUGAUCCGAAAUGGGCAGAAGACCAUCAUCUUCCUGAUAAACAACGGCGGGUACACAAUUGAGGUGGAGAUCCAUGACGGACCCUACAAUGUGAUCAAGAACUGGAACUACACUGGACUGGUUGAUGCCAUCCACAAUGGGGAGGGCAAGUGCUGGACAACCAAGGUAAUCACUUCGUUAAUGCAUUCUAAUCGUCUCCGUAAUCUAUUCCUCCAACUAAUCAACCAAAGGGUUUCCUGGAUCGUAAAACUCCUUGUAACCGAAUCUGUUAAUUCUGCAGGUCCGUUGCGAAGAGGAGCUGAUCGAAGCGAUUGAGACCGCAACCGGGGCAAAGAAGGAUAGCUUGUGCUUCAUAGAGGUGAUAGUCCACAAGGAUGAUACCAGCAAAGAGUUGCUUGAGUGGGGGUCUAGGGUUUCUGCUGCCAACAGCCGCCCGCCCAACCCUCAGUAAAAUUUUCCAUGUCAUUUCCUUUCAUCUACGCAGCGUCAUUCCUUCUCGUUAAGGGUUUCCUAUAUAUGUUUCAAUUCAACACAUUUCCCUGCGGUCUGUGUUUUCAGUUGGAAUUUUUGCUGGUUUUUAUGUACAUUCCCCUUUGAAUUACGAGUAUAUUCUCGUCGAUUAAUUAGUUUAUGUGAUCUGAACGAUUAUUCGACUCAAAAUUAAUUUGCGUAUUACGUAUUAGUCUUAAUACUCGCAUUUCAAGUCUGAGAUGACUUUCCAAUGCGCCUUGUCACGUGUAAUGUGUGAAUCUUUUGUAUUUAUACGUGCAUAAUUCUUAUCGAGUGACACGAUCAUGAAAAAUGAUGUUCUUGACAAAUCCUCGUGUUUAAACAACAUUGUUGGUUGUAACUAAUCAUUUGUCUAAUAUCAGGAUUACUUAGGAGCUAAAAUCUUCCAGCAUUGUUUGACCCAAAAUAUUAACCUAAUAAUUAUGUUUAAAUGUGUCAUUGUCGUAACUGGUUAAUUAUCGAGAAGGAAGGGACAGAAGAGAACCAUUUAUUUACAACUGGAAUCUAUGAACACAACAAAAUGUUUCGCGAUGUGUUUUUGUUGAUUUGAUUGCGUGGCAAGAUAUAAAACGCACAGCUUGUUACUGAACAUUUAUUCUGUUUUAUAUUUAGUCCAUGAACUUUAAUCUUAGUUUAGAUUUGAUUCAUAUCACAUAUUUAGACUUGGAUAUAUGAGACCCACAUGUAUGAAACGUAAUCAUACAAGCAAAAUUUUUAAUGAAAGUUAAUGAUUUGGACCAAUGGUUUGAUGAAUCCUAUCCAACUUUCAGGCAUUAAGAUACGUUUCAAGCAUGGAUGAUUAUCAUAAAGAUUCCCCAACAUAUCAUAAGAUUUCCUUUCGUGAAAAUCCGCACUUUUCCAAACCCAAAAUACAGACGGAAUUCUAGGAUUCCUCCUUAGGGCAAAUACUUUUAUGCAUACCUCUUGUGUUUGAUCUAAAUGACUUAGCUUGCUCCGAAUUACUAUUUUCAUGGUUCUGGAUUGAAGAAAGUUGAUGUUUUGUCAUAAACUAAUUGGCUAUAUAGAAGUAGUUCAAAGUCUAUGCAAGAUCCCUCAUCCAAUCACCAUGAGAUUUAUUCUCAACACGCCUCAUCACGUGUGACAAUUUUUCAAGCUUAGCACGUGGACAACACAAAUCGAGUGACAUGCAGCAUGUGUGGCCGUUUGGCUUCUCCCACAAGACAAACUUGCUCUGAUACAAAAAAAAAAGUUGAUGUUCUACCAUAAAAACAAUUCAAAUAUUAGAAGUAGCCAAACUUACUUAUAAACUCAUGAACGGUCUCUCCUCCCAUUAAUGUAAGAUUCAUUCUCUAACAUGAAUUGCUGUUUAUUUUGUGGUCUCGUUUCUUAGUUGCAUGAGAAGUCAAUCAAGGUGUAGGCAGUGAGAAUCUUUACCAAAUCCAUUUCCAUUCCGAACCUUUGCCGGUAACUGAUAGCAUGUUCUAGGUUCUCCUCCAUCAGCGGUGUGUGGAUUUUCUUGGAAAUUGACUGUCGAUAGGGAAUCAUCUUUGUUAGCCAUGCAUCAUUGUCCGCCAUGUUGUCAAACAAUUGCUCGAAUAAUCCAAAUAGACGGCACCUGGUAGGAAAAGUGGGAUAGCCAUGCGCAUCAUUGUACUGGGGUGCUUUGAUAUUUGUUUAAUACUCAUCUGUAGUGUGCUUGUUGAGAGAUUUUUUAGUGUGACCGGAGUAUGAUGUAAUAUAUUACGUGUCAUUAUACAAGUAGUGAUAUAUUUGUGUUUAAAAAUUAACAACUUAAAAAAUAAAAUUUAUCUCUACUUAUAUAAUAAUAUGUGAUGUAUCAUCCGUAUUCUAAUCACAAUAAAAAAUUUCUCGUGCUUGUGAGACUCCACGAUAAAGGCCAAUCAUGUAGAUAUCUACACAAAUAAGUUAGGUGAUUUUUACACUGCAUGUAAACGCAUAUGUGCAUUCCCUGUGAAGGAUGCCAGUAUUAUCCUUGUUUUCGUAUGCAUCUUUCUUUCUAAUCGUUGGGAUUAAAAUUCAACAAUGAUAAAGAGUCACGUGGACUAAAAUAUUAUAUGAAAUCUUGCCAAUUAGUUCUCAAUUUUACACGUGUCAUAUCCCAAAGAUUUUUCGGUAUACACUUCUUAAAAAAAUUGUUCCAUAGCAUAUAUUUACAUAGGUGUAAAUAUUAGUUUAGUUAUGUAGACAAUACAUAGUAGUUGAUGUGAGUGAUGUGCCAUAAUAUUUCUCAAUAUGCUAACAAGUAAUAAAAUAUUGCAUAUAUUUACAUAGGUGUAAAUAUUAGUUUAGUUAUGUAGACAAUACAUAGUAGUUGAUGUGAGUGAUGUGCCAUAAUAUUUCUCAAUAUGCUAACAAGUAAUAAAAUAUUGAGAAGAAUAAAAUCUAGCCCUUGUACCAUUGGAGAUGGAAAAUUAUAGCUAUGCUCUAUUCAAUUUUUAUUUUUAUUUUUAAUAAACAAUAUUAUCUACACUAAGGGGAUGGGGGAGUAGGUCAAACCUUAUAAUGAGCUAGCAAUAAUGAGGUUCAAAUUCGUAUUUGGAGAAAAUCGAAUCUAAAAUUUUUCACUUACAAGUAAAGAAGAAUACUACUAAACCCGUACCGUAGUACUAAGUAUCAACUAUUGGAGAUGGCCUAAUGUCUGGUGUGUAUAUUUAGGAACGGGAGCUAAAUAUAUGAUAACUAUGGAGUUCGAAAACGCUGUAAUUUCGACAACUAAAAACGAAAUGGUAAUCAUGAAAAUGCAUUUUGUUACUACUAACCUCUGCGAGAACACAAAUUUGUGAAGAAUGAGAAUCAUGAAAAGCCAUACCAAGGAUCACAAUGCAAUACCGUUUAAGCCACCAAAAAGCAUUUGUCUAUAUACAACAAAAUUUCGAUGAGAUGCGAUGGAUUUUACACCUACGGAUCAAUGCUGACAUUGAUCGGUGCGUGAACAGGAGGACAAUUUUGGAGCAGGGUGCUUGGAAAGGGGCCUCGACAGUUGGUAUUGUGAGAUUUUAAUCGCGGUAUGUUGGGGUGAGCGCUUCUACAUCGGUGGCAUCGAAGCUCCAUCGACAACAGGCUAUCAUCAUCUUUUAGCUUUGCAUUUCCAUCACUAGUGACUUCCUCUACUGCAUCCAUGGAGUCUCGAAAGAAAGCAGUGUUGAAGGAGUUCCACUGUUUCUUGAUCUUCAAAUGUGUUGAUCGAAAUCCUGGCUAAUAACAUGCAGAUGCAGCUGUCGCAUUGAGGGAUCCUGCAAGAGAUGAUAUCCCGAAAAUUCAAGUAUAUUAUUUACAUCUAGUCUGAUGUAUUAAUACUAACCUCACCAGUACUUUAGCAAAAAGGACUUCGAAGGGCAAUGUUGGAGAAAACGAAUACAACAGCAAGCUCUAAGAAAAAUAGCAUGUGUACCGAGUGAUAUCCAAGACGGAAGACCAAAGAUGAAUCAUCAUGCAAGUUCGAAUUGCGGUCGGGUCAUUUGUGUUGUGCAAGAGACGGAGUAAAUGGUACUGCAUGGCUAAGUAUAAAAUCCUUGUUAAGAUAUCCCUCAUUUGGAUGAAAGAAUUGGUCCUCACCGAAGACAUAUUCACAUAAAUCAAAGGCCGAGAUGUUGAAAUUGUUAUGAGGGGCAAUGCAGCUGGCCUCCUUGUUCGGCCUGUGUUUGGCAAGAAAUAAGUCAUUUGCUUCUACUGUCACAUAAAUAUAAAGUACGAGAUGUAGUGUGAGCUUGUUCUAUUACUUUUUGAUAUUUUGAUGUCGCAAGUUUUUAAUCGUAAAAAGGUAGAUAAGAACGACAUAUUUGCGAUCAAUUUUUUUAUUGUUUUUAUUCUUCUUUUCGAUACAGGAAUCAACAUUACUCAUUAUCAAAAUGACAUAUUUGUGCACAAAUUUUCGUAAGUACGAAAAUUGACGCAAAACACAAAUCAUAAACUACAAAAAACAGAAUUGUUUGGUGAUCCAAGCAACACUAAAUCAAACAGUUUUAUUUAAUCGAGCUUCAUUUGACUGUGUCUUCACUUUUUUUUGGCUUUGGUUCCUAGCUCUUUUCUUUUACGGGUUCUCCUCUUUUGUUUAUAUUGCUCAGUUUGUUUGAUAUCAUGAACAUUUACUCUGUUAUAGCUUUGAUUUUUCUGGAUGAAGACUUCCUAUUCUGAUGGAGAUAUUUUCCAUCAAUGUAUUAAGGGUAGCUAUUGUUACAAUAGAGACUUCUACAUAGGACAUGUACUCUUAUUUGGUGGCUACAUGAUGGCAAUUGAGGUUUGCCACCAAUUUAAGUGCCCACUUUUUAUAAUAGACACCAAUUGAGGUUAGCCAAAAUUCUAGUAGUAUUGAAAGUCAAGUGUGGGUAUUCCAUAUGUAGAAUCAGUAGAUGCAACAUCAAUCAUAUAUAGCAUCAGUAGAUGCAUCAUCAGUCAUAUGCAACAUCAGUCACCCUAUAUUGUCUAAUAAAAGUCAAGAGUGGGUAUCCAAAGCUAUUAGUUAGGUAGACCAUAUGGGUGCAGUUGUUACCUUACUUCUAGUUAGAUCUUAUAUCUUCUUUCCCAUACUUCUAGGGUGGUUAGAAGCUUUUGCCGUAUGUUCUUUUUGCUCCCUGUUUUAUGGAGCUGCCGUGUAGGAGUGAUUCAAGGGUGAUCAGUGUGUUGAUCACGCCUUGCCCUACAUAUCUUGUAUUCUUGUGUUGUUUCUCUAUGAAAGAUAAUAAAAACAAUACUUCUAGGGUGGUUAGAAGCUUUUGCCGUACCUUCUUUUUGCUCCCUAUUUUAUGGAGCUGUCGUGUAGGAGUGAUUCAAGGGUGAUCAGUGUGUUGAUCACUCCUUACCCUACAUAUCUUGUAUUCUUGUGUUGUUGUUUCUCUAUGAAAGAUAAUAAAAACAAACACUUAAAACUCAACAUGGUAUCAGAGCAGGAAUAACCUGUCUCUGUGAUACUCGUUGCUUUAUUCUUCAAGCUUUCUUUCAUGGCUAACGAAAACCCCAUCCUUGAGUUCGAUGCUGAUAGCUCACUUGGAGCCGGUCAUUAAAAUCAACCGAAGAUUGAUGUAAAUCCAAAUCAAAGGUUGAGUUUUGUGCUUCUAAAUGAGUUCAACUACUUACCAUGGUUGAGGGCAGUUUCACUUGCCCUAGGAGGAAGAUCAAAGCUAGGGUUCAUAAAUGGAAGUACUGAAGCUCCUGAUGCUUCCUCUACCACCUAUGAAUCUUGGCUUAGCAAGGAUCAGUUGGUCAUGUCCUGGCUCCUCAAUUCCAUGGAGAGAAAGAUAGCCGAGAUAUUCAGCUACUCUAAGUCAUCCUUUCAGCUAUGGAAGUCCGUGCAAGAAAUGUAUGGAAAUGAGAAUAAUGCAGCCUAUGUGUUUCAACUUAAAAGAGAUAUAGCGAGCAUGCAACAAGAUGGAAAACCUUUUGUUCAACUACUUGGAAGUCUAAAAGGUAUGUGGAAUGAGUUGGAGGUAUACCGUCCACAUAUAACGGACUCAAACCUGCUUCUUAAAAGGGCUGAAGAAGACAAAAUCUUCCAGCUUUUCACUAGUUUGGGGUCAGAAUACGAAGAUAUGCAUAGCCAUAUUCUCAUGAAUCUAGAGCUCCCCACCUUUGCAAAUGUUUGUGUAACAAUUUAAAGGGAAAAAAAUGAGAAAAAAGGUUAUGAACACUAGUACCUCAACAACUGCCUCAGAAGCUAGGGCUUACUUUUCCAGUGAAAAGAAACAUUUCUCCAGUGAUAAGAAGUACAAGGGAAGAAAUCCUCAUCUCAAAUGCAAACAUUGUGAUGCCACGGGACACGUGAGGGACAAUUGUUGGAUUCUCCACCCUGAGCUCAAACCAGACUUCAUGAAAAAUGAAAGGUUUAUUCAGAAGAAGCCUCAGUUUCCCAGUUAUAAAGUUAAUCAUGCCUCAUCCCUGUCAACUAGAGGCUCAGAUGAUCUUCUGAAUUUUACCUCUAAUCCCACCACACUUAUAAAUGAGUUCGCUGCGUACCUUCAACUGAAGAAGGAAGUCUCUGGGAGUGAUGAAGCCGGUACCUCUGGUAAUGGCAACUCAAUUGCAAUGCUAGGAAAGUUUGCAGGUUUUUUGGUUGACUCGAAAAAGCUCACUCAAGACAACAUGCAAGGUAUACUGACAACUUUCAAAACUGCUUUAAAUAUAAAUCAAUUGCAUGAUUUGUGGGUCAUAGAUUCUGGUGCCACAAAUCACAUGACCAACCAAGUUUACAAGCUCCAUGAUUUUAAAAAACUUCCCACACCUUCACAUGUUUUAGUUGCUAAUGGGGAUGAAGCUAAAGUGUUAGGAAUGGGAAAAAUAAAUCUAGCGUCUGACAAUAUAGAGUCUAAAGCCUUGUAUGUUCCUUCAUUUCCUUUUCAACUUCUCUCAGUUGGAAAAAUCACACAUGCAUUAAAUUGUUCAGUUACUUUCUCCCCUUAUACUGUCAUUUUUCAGGACUGUAUCACUAAGCAGAAGAUUGGUGAAGAUUUUUUCUUAGAUGGUCUCUAUUACCUAUCCAAGGAUACAUCAUUUCUCAAGGAAUUUCAAGUCAAGUCUAACCUAAGUCAAGACCAAACCUUGUGGCAUCAAAGAUUAGCUCAUCCUUCCGAGCUUAUUUUGUCAAGAUUGUUUCUAAAUCUUUGUAAAGAAGUGAUCUAGUGUGAUACAUGUCAUUUUUGUAAAGCCACUAGGUUACCUUUUGGUUUAUCCUCAAAUAGGACUAAACAAGUUUUUGAACUUGUACAUUUAGAUGUAUGGGGGCCAUUUUAAGAAUCUUUUGAUGGGUAUAAGUACUUUGUAACUUUCAUAGAUGAUUUCUCGAGAGUUACUUGGUUAUACCUUUUGAAAUCUAAGAGUGAAGUUGUUGAAGCAUUCAUAGAGUUUCAUAAUCUUGUCAAAAAUCAUUUCAAUUCCCAAAUUCAAACUUUGAGAUAUGAUAAUGGCUCAAAAUAUGAUAGGUUCAUAUAUAUAUAUAUAUAUUUUACAUCAAAUUCACUUGUUUUUUCUUAGUUAGUUCCUUAUAUUUUUGAGCUAUUUACUUUUCUUUUGUGUUUUGUAGGAUUUGUCAAGCAAAGAAAAGAAAAAUAGCACAAGUGGGAUUUUAAGUAACAAAUUCGUCAAAACUGCUUGUGCAGAUCAGCUGACUUUGGAAGCAAGUUGCAGACAGCUCAGAAUGAAUUAGCCUUAUAUGCUUGGAAAUCUACGGAUGUCUAUUUUCUAGAGCAUUUCGCGGAUUGUUAAUAUCAUUUGUCUAGAAAAAGUUAUGGCCAUUUUAACACUGAAAGGUUACCAAGAGGCUGAUCAAUUUGUAAAUGCAAUGAAAGCAAUAAACCCAAUAAAUCUAGCCGCCAAAACUGAUGCAGCCAAGAACAAGCCAGCUGACACUUAUUCAAAUAUAAAAGGGAAUGGAAUUAAAGAUGAGGAUUAAGAGGGAGUAAUUGGCAUAAAGGCUACCCAAAGAGUUACAAUUGUUUUACCAUUUCCUCUCACUUAUUGUCAUCACUAAAUGGCUAUUAGUGGGCGAGUUAAGGAGAAGAAAAUGAUGCAGCAAUAAUUGGUUUAAAAGCAGCGUUGGGGAAGGAAGAAGGAGGAGGAGGAGGAGGCCUCGGUUGAUUUCUUUCGGUUCUAUCUUCUCAAACUCAUGUCUAUCUUUUGUUUUAACUUAAGGAGUAUGUGUAACUAAAUUUUAGUAGUUAGGGGCUGUUUUGAAGCCCCGAAUAUGAUUGCAAGUUUGUUAUGACAUUUCGUUUGAAUCACUUUUAUAAAUGGAUGAAAAUUGGUUCACUACUUAUGUCAGUGAUGAAUUCUUUAUGUGUUUUCUACGGAUGCAUACUUUAGUAAGCAUAUCUAGGAUUCAAAUGCUAUGAAUAGUGUGUGCCUACCCUUGUCGAAUGAGGACCUACAUAUGUUUUAGAGUGGUACUUGUUAAUUGCGAUUAACAUGUGAACCAAUUUCUAGGAUAAGUAAGACAACGCUAGUACUUACGAUGCCUUGUGAUGACUUAAACACUUUUCGUUCUUAAUGAUUUAUACUUGUUAAAUCUAUGAACACGUCAUUCUAGAUUGAAUGCUAGAGACUAAGUUAAGUUGAAAAUGCCAUUCUCUUAACAUACUACAUAAGAAAGAGUAAUAGGUUGAGUUCUAACAUUGAGCCAACUUGAGCAUCUUCAUCCGGAAAUAAAAGGAAUUUAAAUGAAACAUAACAUGUUUGCAUGAUUAUUUGGUGGUGGAUAGCAAUUCCCCUAACUCAUUGUUCUUAAUUUGAACUACUUAAAAUAUGUUUCUGUCCUGUUUUUGUUCGAUUUAAUUUAAAUAGAAAAUCAAUGCCAAAAAUCCCAAAACUUUGUAUGAGUGUAGCUCUGUGUGUCUAGUAUCUUCAUAUAAAAUUUCGUAGACUUUAGAUAAGUGCAAGUUGGUCUAAUAAUUAUUUUUUUGGUGACUGGUCAGUAGGGAUAACAACCCAAUUUUUGUGACAUUUUAAGUAGUUAGAUAAAAUAAUCUUCUGCGGGAAAGACCCUUAUUUUCAUAUCCUACAAUUGACAAAUCUUAGUGUUAAUAAGGAAAAUCAAUAGGACAUUUGUGUACUACUUUGUGGUGUGCUUUUAAUCUUAUCAGAUUAUAUGUCACACAUCAUGAAACAAUAUUUAAGCAGUAAUGGAAUUUUGCAUCAAACCAGUUGUGUUGGUACUCCACAACAAAACGGUCUAGCCGAGAGAAAGAAUUGUGAUCUACUUGAAAAAAUAAGAGCUCUAAUGUUGCACAUGAAAGUACCAAAAAGAUUUUGGUCCCAAGGGGUCAUGACAGUUACAUAUAUCAUAAACAGAUUACCAAGUUGAGUCUUGGAGUUCAAAUUUCCAAUGUAAGUGUUAAAAGGAAGCGAUGUUAGUCUGUCACAUCUUAAAGUCUUUGGAUGCACAUGCUGUGUUCAUAUUCAACCACAACAUAGGUAUAAAUUGGACCCUAGGGCUAACAAAUGCAUGUUUCUUGGUUACUCAUCUACUAAAAAAGGUUACAAGUGCUAUGUCCUGAGUUAAAGAGAGUUGUAGUUUCAAGGGAUGUACGAUUUGAUGAACCUAACCCCUUUUUCAACAAGUUGUCUAAAGAUCAGUCACAUGGGGAGUCAUGUUUUGAGUUUUUUCCCUUACCAAGGGCUAAGGAACUAUCUUUCGAGAUACAACCUCUUAAUUCUUGUUGCAGUUGAUGAAACUCAAGAUAGUAAUCACAAUCUUGACUAACAAAUGCAUAAUGAAGAAUUUCCUCAUGAAGAGCAAGAAAGCUCAACAGAAGAAACACAACAGUUUCAAGGCAAAAGAAAUCCGGUAUGUGCUAGGCAUCAUUCUACAAGACUUCAAGAUUAUUUGACUUAUUCAGCAAGUCAUCCAAUCAGUGGUUUCAUGUCUUACCAGAAAGUUUCAAAAUCUUAUGCUGCCUAUUUGAACACCAUCACUAGUCACUGUGAGCCUCAAACAUUUCAAAAAGCAAACUAUUAAGAAGUGUGGAGAAAUGCCAUGAAGGAAGAGUUUCGUGUUUUCACUAAUCAUAACACCUGGAGUGUAGUUAGACUUCCACUAGGAAAAACGGCAGUUGGUAGUAAGUGGAUCUACAAGAUCAAAUUCCACUCAGAUGGAUCGAUUGAAAGGCACAAAGCUAGGAUGGUGGCUAGAGGAUUCACUCAAACAUAUGACAUGGACUACAAGGAAACAUUCACUCCAGUUGCCAAGAUGAACACUAUGAGGGUGUUAUUGUCUGUUGUUGUGAAUAAAGGAUGCGCUUUAUACCAAAUGGAUAUGAAGAAUGCAUUCUUACAUGGUGACCUUGAAGAGGAGGUUUACAUGAAACUUCCACCAGGACAUCCUCAAUACAAUGAGCUUGGCAUGGUGUGUAGGUUGCACAAAUCCAUUUAUAGAUUAAAACAAUCCCCAAGAGCCUAAUAUGCCAAGCUCAGCUUGGUUCUUGAAGAAGUUGGUUUUCAAAGAAGUCAUGCAAACUCAUCCAUGUUUGUUCAAACAUGAGUGGUUGGCAAACUUGUUGUGUUGAUCUAUGUUGAUGACACAAUAAUCACUGGGGACAAUGCUAAUGAAAUCGCAAACCUCAAGGUCUCUCUACAAUAGAAGUUCUCCAUCAAAGAUCUUGGAAGGUUAAAAUAUUUUAUGGGGAUAGAAAUGGCCACAUCAAGUAAAAGGCUAUUUCUUAGCCAAAGGAAAUAUAUCCUCGAUCUUCUCACGGAAUCAAACAUGAAGGAUGCCAAGCCAGUUCAAACUCCCCUUGAUAGCAAGCUCAAGCUCAACUUGGAAGGCAAACCUCUACCUAAUAUCGGUUACUACCAACGACUUGUUGGUAAGUUCAUUUAUUUAACUAUCACAAGACCAGAUAUUACAUUUGCAGUGAGCUUAGCUAGUCAAUUCAUGCAUGCACCUACAAUAGAACAUUUCAACCUCGUUAAGAGAGUACUUCGAUAUCUCAAAGGAUCAAUUGGAAGAGGAAUUCUCAUGAAGAGGAAUGAUAACACUCAAGUUGUUGGUUACUGUGAUGUUGAUUGGGCAGGAAACCAAAUAGAUCAAAAGUCCACCUCAGGUUAUUGCACAUUUGUGGGAGGAAAUCUGGUAACAUGGAAGAGUAAGAAGCAAAGUGUCAUUGCAAGAUCAAGUGCAAAAGCUGAGUAUAGAUCGAUGACAUCACAUCAUGUGAAUUAAUAUGGCUUAAGGGUUUGUUGAGUGAUUUGGGGUUUCAAACAAAGCAACCUAUGUCAAUGUACUGUGAUAAUCAAGCUGCAAUGCAUAUAGCUUCCAAUCCAGUGUUCCAUGAAAGAACAAAACAUAUUGGGGUUGAUUGUCACCAUGUCCGUGCUCAAGUGUAAACUCAAGUGAUUCAAACUCUCUACACAAGAAGUGCUGAUUAGUUAGCUGACAUUUUCACCAAACCAUUACCUCAAUAAGUUUAAGCGUUUUCUAUCCAAGCUUGGUUCCAUCAACAUUCUAGACCCAGCUUGAGGGGGAGUAUUGAAAGUCAAGAGUGGGUAUUCUAUAUGCAGAAUUAGUAGAUGCAGCAUCAGUCAUCCCAUAUCAUCUAAUAAAAGUCAAGAGUGGGUAUCCAUAGCUAUUGGUUAGGUAGACGAUAUGCAUGCAGUUGUCACCUUACUUCUAGUUAGAUCUUGUAUCUUCUUUCCCAUACUUCUAGGGUGGUUAGAAGCUUUUUGCCUCACCUUAUUUCUGCUCCCUGUUUUAUGGAGCUGCCGUGUAAGAAUGAUUUAAGGGUGAUCAGUGUGUUGAUCACACCUUGCCCUAUACAUCUUGUAUUCUUGUAUUGUUGUUUCUUUAUGAAAGAUAAUAAAAACAAAUACUUAAAACUCAACAAGUAGUGUGGACAUGUCGAGUUCCACCACAGUGUGUGAAACUUACUUUCCUUUCGCUUUUUGAAUCUCUCAAAUAAUUAGCUCGUCGGUAGGAUCUCAACGGGUACUCAGCUUUCGACAUUUCCAAUAGAUUCCGUUACAAGAAACGAAGGAUUAUGGAGUCCACCUUUUAAUGGUGGAUACAAAGCAGAAUUGUCAUCAGCAUCAACAUGGAAUGGACGCCUUCCAAAUUCUGGACAUCGUCAUGAGAUACUUGCGAUCUUUAUGUUUGAAUUUGUUAAGACCUCUCUCCGUAAACUUUCUUCAUAUAUCAAGCACACAAAAGUGAAAACCAAAGUCAAAAUGAAAUGGUUAUCAUGAAAUGCUUUAAUCCGCUUGUAGAAUUAAACACGAUUUUAUUAACUACCCCACAUGUAGCCUUGUAAAAGAGAUACUUAAUCAGAGUUUGAAAGUGCUUUUAAAAUAACUGAAAACGCUUUUAAAGAAAAUGUUUUUAGAUUCCAAAAGCACUUGAAAUGCUUUUUGGAUCGAAGAAGCACCACUUCAAAUAUUUUUUUUUCAAGAUUCAUUUGCGUUUUUACUAAUGAUUGAUUCCAAAAUUAUUUUUACUAAAAAGAUUUUCAAUUAUUUUAAAAAUACUUCUAAACAAACUAUUAAAUAAAAUCGAGAAGAUGAUGCAUGUAUCUGAACGUGGGGAACACACUCCCUUGCGUGAAGUUUUAGCCCCUCUCUUGUUAACAUUGAAAAACAACCCACAAUUGAAACCCCACAAGGAAUAUGGGGAAAAAGACUUUGAAGUCAACAAGUCAAGCAAACCUCAAACUUGAAACCAUCACCACGUUUUUCUCAGCGUCUCUAAGAAGUAAAAGCCAUACGUACACACGUCAAUCCGUUUGACUCACUUCAGUUAUUUAGAAUCCAUUUGAUAAUAAUUAUUUUUUAAAAUUAAAAGUAGUUAUUAAAUAAGUUUUUGAUUUUCAAAAAAAAAAAGAUAAAGAAAAUAUAAAAACAAAAUGAUUAUUAAACAGUUUAUUGGAGCUUGGAAAUUAUUUUAUUUUUUUGUUUGUAGUUUUCAUUUAUUUGUACUUGAGAUCAGGGAAAAUGGGAGAUUAAAUGGUUGUGCGGAACUGAAAUUCAACUUACAAUCACAUCACAACAAACCACAGUUCAAUAAAAUGGGGCACUGUGUGAAAAUUAAAAUGUGGCCCUUUCAAGCACAAGACUUUUUUUUUUGUGUGUUUAAAAGAUUUUUUUUUCUUCUAUGGCAUAUUUAUAGAAGUACAAAACUUAGUCUGAAAGUCAACUUUGUAACAUAAUAUCUUCUACUGAAUAAUAGAUACAGAAGAAUUUAAAGAAAGAUAUAUGUUAAAGAAAUGAAGUUUUUAACCAAGAAAAAUAUAUAUAAAAAGAUACAGUAUUUUUAAAACAGAAAACCAUUUGGGUAUUUUUCAAAUUUGUACUUAGUUAAGUUAUGCAUAUGUAGUUUUUUUUUGGAAUAUAUAGAAUUGAAAUAUGUAUGUCACAUCCCGGCUCGAGCCCCCACCACAUUCCGGGUUCGACUCCACCAUAACACGAUAUUGUCCGCUUUGGGCCUCGACCACGCCCUCACGAUUUUGUUUCUGGGAACUCACAUAAGAAUUUCCCAGUGGGUCACCAAUCCUGAGAAUGCUCUUGUGCAAACUUGCUUAACUUCAGAGUUCCGAUGGAACCCGAAGCUAGUGAGCUUCCAAAAGGCCUCGUGCUAGGUAGAGAUGAGAAUAUACAUAUAAGGCUUAUAGGAUCCACUUCCCUGGGCGAUGUGGGAUGUCACAAUCCACCCCCCUUAAGGGCCCGACGUCCUCGUCGGCACACUUCCAGCCAGGGAUUAGCUCUGAUACCAAAUUGUCACAUCCCGGCCCGGGCCCCCACCACAUCCCGAGCUCGACUCUACUGUAACACGAUAUUGUCCGCUUUGGGCCCCGAACACGCAUUCAAGGUUUUGUUUCUGGGAACUCACACGAGAACUUCCCAGUGGGUCACCCAUCAUGGGAUUGCUCUCGUGCGAACUCGCUUAACUUCGGAGUUCUUACGGAAUCCGAAACCAGUGAGCUCCCAAAAGGUCUCGUGCUAGGUAGAGAUGAGAAUAUACAUAUAAGACUUACAUGAUCCACUUCCCUGGGCGAUGUGGGAUGUCACACACAUAUAUAUAUAUAUGUAUGUAUACAUAUAUAUAUACAUAUAUAUAUAUGUAUGUAUGUAUACGGAAGCUAAUCUAAAGUAUUUGUUCAAUUUAUCCAGUUAGUAGCAUCACUUUAAUCGCUUUUGUAGAAUGCCGCAUCCAACCAAAAAAAUUAAACAUGAUUUCAUUACUUACCUCACUUGUAGCCUUGUAAAAGAGAGACUUAUGCUUUGUUUGGAAGUGUUUUUAAAAUUAUUGAAAGCGUUUUUAGAGAACGUUAUUGAGUCUUAAAAAUAAUUGAAGUGCUUUGUAGAAGAAGCAUCACUUCAAGUGAUUUUCCAAUAUUCACUUUUGUUUUUACUGAAGAUUGAUUCUAAAAAUAUUUUUUUUCUUUUAAAAAUGCUUUUAAUCGUUUUAAAAAUAGUUUCAAACUAACUCUUAUUGCUCUUAUAUGAAUCUAGAAGUAUAACGCAUAUUUGAACGUGGGGUAUACACUGUUUCGUGAAGUUUUAGUCCCUCUGCAGGGGCGAAAUUUUACCCUCUCUUUUUCACUCAAUAGUCUGUCAACAUUGAAUAAAACAACCUACAGUUUAAACCCCACAAGGGAUGUGGGGAAAGACUUUGAAGUCAACAAGUCAAGCAAACCACAAAAUUAUACCCGCUAUAUAUACAUUACCAUCACCACGUUUUCUGUAGUAUGGCUCGCUUAAGUUACCAAACGAAUUUUUAAUUUUUGAAAAAAAUAAAAAAUGAAAAAUGAAAAAAGAAUGAUUAUUAAACGUCCUUUUGGAGCUUGAAAGUCGUUUCGUUUUUUUGUGUUGAAAUUUGUGGAUAAACAUUUCUUUUGAUCGUCAGCGCUUUCCUCUUUUGCCUUAUAAAAACCAAAAUAUCUAUUUACGAUAUUCUGUAUGGCAUGAUUUGAAUUUUGAAGCAUGUUUUGCAUAUUCUGAAUAAUAAUAAUUGUUGAAUUAUUGAUGAUAAGAGGUCAGAGUACUUUUGGUAUAUGCAUAGCUUACAUUUUGAUUAUUUAUUUAUUUGUCAAUUGACGCGUGAGAACUAUAAUUUGGACUUUGAAGAACUUUAUAAAAUAUAGGACAAUUGUUUUACACAUUCCGAUAAACAAAGUGCAUAAACACACGUUCACAGUUCAACUUUAUCAGGGUUUCAGCUGAGCUAAGAUAGUCAUUUCUGUUUGUAUUGACUAUGUAUUGCCUUAAUUAGUCAAUAGCCACUGGAAAAUGAGGAUAGGAAAGCAAUGCAGUCAGACUUGAACGCGAUGUUGUCUUAUAAAAAUAUCUAGAAAUCAAUUAAAAUUUAUCAAAAGUCAUGAAUUAAGACAAUCAAGACUUCAAAGUCAACGUCAACCAAUAAAACCAAGAGAAAUUUUUUGAAAUGUUAAAUGAAAUUAUACACCUUCUUCAAUUUAUGAUAUAUGAACUAAAAAUUUAAACGAUUUGUUAUACUAACUUUCUGAAUCAUUAAUUUUUCAUCUAACUCUAACUUCGUUAAAUUUUUCAUUCAAGAUAACUCAUGUGCAAGGCACCCAUAACUUAUGUUCAGGAGUAAUUUCAGACAUUUCAACGAGUGUCGCCCUCACCUCUCCCCUUUGCAUUUAAUAACCACAAAAGGCAUCAAAAUGGCUUUCAUUCGUCUCUGCUUUUUAGGCACCGAAAGGCAGAGGCAUUUGCCUUUCCUUUUAUUCUAGUCUGGUUUUCUUUUUGCUGUGUAGCGAAAACAACAUUCCAUUUCAUUUGAACCACAUUAUUAGUCCAUUAUAACGUUAAGCUCAUAAUUUCUCUUUAGUAUAAAUAAUAUCGUUUGUUUAAAAAUAAAAAACUCAUAAGAGUAUAUUCCCAAAUUUAUUGGGGUUAAGGGAUCUCAAUGCACAUUAGUUGGCUCCCCAAGUACGUGAUUUAUUUUAGAUAGAAAACUUAAUAGAGUUGAUAUGACAAAUCGCUUAAAUAUUAGUUCAUAUGAUAAAUUAAAAAAAAUGUUAAAAUUCCUAUAACAUUUCAAAUUUUUUUCCAGAUCUAACAAUUCUACAGUGUCAUAUAUAAAUCCAAGUAUAUUAAUUAGUAUCUUUAAUGCGGCAAAUUUCCACUUGCCACAUUGCCUAAGGUAGUACUCUUAAGCGGGCACGUAAUCACCUAGAAAUUGAUUUAGCUUAUUUAUAAAAGACAACAUGAAGACAAUUUCUGUUUUGAAAUUAGUUGUAAUAGGAAAAAUCAUGUUCAUGUCCAAUUCUAUACUUUUGCUUUAAGUGCAUACUUAUAAAACAAAUUCUUUCUAUGUUCCAUCUCAUGUGUUUCCAUUUUCUCCCCACAGAUCACUAAUAGAUUGGAGCAAAGAAUUUACAAGGAUUUGCAAAACGAGCACUUUGGAUCAGUUAAAGUGGUGCAAAUGCAAGUCUGAAGUUAGUCUUGUAUAAGAAUUGUGAUUUCAGUAGGGGAAGCUUUUGUCAUUUAGACCUUCAUUGAUUCUAAAUAUUUAGUCUAUUUAUUACCACUCAUCGUUACCAACAUUUGUGCAAAAUUGUAUAAAAGAUCAGUUAUGCAAAUUUGUAGUUGUUUCUUAUAUCAAUGAUAUUACAAUUUGUUUUCUCACCAAAAAAAAAAAAAAGAAAUAUGAAAUUGCAAUUAGGGUGCCCGUACCAUACGAGGCAUCCUUUUUUUUUUUUAAACACAAUUUGCAACUUUGACACCAAUGAUUUAGGCGGCAUUGUUUUCAGAUGCCACCAAUGAUUUAGGGUGACACUGUUUUCAGAUGCCACCAAUGUAGUAAGGGUAGCUAUUGUUACAAUAGAGACUUCUACAUAUGACAUGUACUCUUAUUUGGUGGCUGCAUGGUGGCAAUUGAGGUUUGCCACCAAUGUCAGUGCCUACUCUUUAUAAUAGACACCAAACAUAAGGGUGUCCUUAGCCAAAAUUCUAGUAGUGUGGACAUGUCGAGUUCCACCACAGUGUGUGAAACUCACUUUCCUUUAGCUUUUUGAAUCUCUCAAAUAAUCAGCUCGUCGGUAGGAUCUCAAUGGGUACUCAGCUUUCGACAUUUCCAAUAGCUUCCGUUACAAGAAACAAAGGAUUAUGGAGUCCACCUUUUAACGGUGGAUACAAAGCAGAAUUGUCAUCACCAUCAACAUUGAAUGGAUGCCUUCCAAAUUCUGGACAUCGUCAUGAGAUACUUGCCAUCUUUAUGUUUGAAUUUGUUAAGACCUCUCUCUAUAAACUUUCUUCAUAUAUCAAGCACACAAGAGUGAAAACCAAAGUAAAAAUGAAAUGGUUAUCAUGAAAUGCUUUAAUCCACUUGUAGAAUUAAACACGAUUUCAUUAAUUACCCCACAUGUAGCCUUGUAAAAGAGAUACUUAAUUAUAGUUUGAAAGUGCUUUUAAAAUAACUGAAAAUACUUUUAAAGAAAAUAUUUUUAGGUUUUAAAAGCACUUGAAGUGCUUUUUGGAUCGAAAAAGCACCACUUUAAGUGUUUUUUCUAAGAUUUACUUGCGUUUUUACUAAUGAUUGAUUCUAAAAAUAUUUUUACUAGAAAGACUUUCAGUAAUUUUAAAAGCAUUUCCAAACAAGCUAUUAAAUAAAAUCGAGAAGAUAAUGCAUGUAUCCGAACGUGGGGAGCACACUCCCUUGCGUGAAGUUUUAGCCCCUCUCUUGUCAACAUUGAAAAAACAACCCACAAUUUAAGCCCCACAAGGAAUAUGGGGAAAGACUUUGAAGUCAACAAGUCAAGCAAACCUCAAAUUUGGUAGAAACCAUCACCACGUUUUUCUCAGCGUCUACAUACACACGUCAAUCCGUUUGAGUCACUUCAGUUAUUUAGAAUCCGUUCCAUAAUUAUUAUUUUUUAUUUUUUAAAAUUAAAAGUAGUUACUAAAUAAGUUUUUCAUUUUCAUAAAAAAAAAAGAUAAACGAAAAAAAAAAACGAAAUUAUUAUUAAACAACCUAUUGGAGCUUGGACAUUAUUUUAUUUUUGUGUUCGUAGUUUUCACUUUUUUGUACUUGAGAUAAAGGAAAAUGGGAGAUUAAAUGGUUAUACAUGUAGAUGUUGCGCAAUUGGCUGUGCGGAGCUGAAAUUUAAAUUACAACCACAUCACAACAAACCAUAGUUUAAUAAAAUGGGGCACUGUGUGAAAAUUAAAAUGUGGCCCUUUCAUGCACAAGACUUUUUUUUGUGUGUUUAAAAGAUUUUUUUUUCUUCUAUGGCAUAUUUAUAGAAGUACAAAACUUUGUCUGAAAGUCAACUUUGUAACACAAUAUCUUCUACUGAAUAAUUGAUAUAGAAGAAUUUAAAGGAAGGUAUAUGUUAAACAAAUGAAGUUUUUAACCAAGAAAAAAUAUAUAAAAAGAUACAGUAUUUUUAAAACAGAAAACCAUUUGGGUAUUUUUCAAAUUUGUACUUAGUUAAGUUAUGCAUAUAUAGUUUUUUUUUUUUUGGAAUAUAUAAAAUUGAAAUAUAUAUAUAUGGAAGCUAAUCUAAAGUAUUUGUUCAAUUUAUCCAGUUAGUAACAUCACUUUAAUCGCUUUUGUAGAAUGCCGCUUCCAACCAAAAAAUUAAACAUGAUUUCAUUAAUUACUUCAUUUGUAGCCUUGUAAAAGAGAGACUUAGACAUCAUUUAGAAGUGCUUUUAAAAUUAUUGAAAGCGCUUUUAGAGAAAGUGUUUUUAGGUCUCAAAAACACUUGAAGUGUUUUGUGGAUGAAGCAUCACUUCAAGUGAUUUUUCAAGAUUCUCUUUUGUUUUAUUGCAUAUUGAUUCUAAAAACAUUUUUUUUCUUAAAACACUUUUAAUUGUUUUAAAAAUACUUUCAAACAAGUUUUUAUAUGAAACUAGGAGUAUAACGCAUGUAUCUGAACGUGGGGUAUACAUUGUUUCAUGAAGUUUUAGCUCCUAUGUAGGGGCGAAAUUUUACCUUCUUUUCCAAAGGCAGAUUGUCUGCCCUCCCAUUACCAUGCAUUUCUCAUCCCCUCCUACAUUGUGCGGUCAUGGUUAAGUCAUAUCAACAUUUUAUAUUGAUUUUUUAUAGAAAUAAUAAAACAUGUUGACGUGACUUAACCGUGACUGUACAAAUAGAAAAGGAUGUGAAGGGCAUGGUAAAAGGAGGGCAGACAACCUGCCUCCCUCUUUUCCACUCAGUGGUCUGUCAACAUUGAAUAAAACAACCUACAUUUUAAAGUUCUUCAUACAUACAUACAUUGCCAUCACCACGAUAAGGGAUACGGGGAAAGACUUUGAAGUCAACACGUCAAGCAAACCACAAAAUUAUACCCACUAUACAUACAUUACCAUCACCACGUUUUCUGUAGUAUGGCUCGCUUAAGUUACCAAACGAAUUUUUUAUUUUUGAAAAAAAAAUAAAAAGUGAAAAAUGAAAAUAGAAUGAUUAUUAAAAGUCUUUUUGGAGCUUGAAAGUCGUUUUGUUUUUUUUUUUGUGUUGAAAUUUGUUGAUAAUCAUUUCUUUUGCUUGUCAGCCUUUUCCUCUUUUGCCAUACAAAAACCAAAAUAUUUAUUUACGAUAUUCUGUGUGGCAUAAUUUAAAACGUGUUUUGCAUACUUUGAGUAAUAAUAAUUGUUGAAUUAUUGAUGAUAAGAGGUCAUAGUACUUUAGGUAUAUGCAUAGCUUACAUUUUGAUUAUUUAUUUAUUUAUUUUUAUUUUUUUUUGUCAAUUGACGCGUGAGAACUAUAAUUUGGACUUUGAAGAACUUUAUAAAAUAUAGGACAAUUGUUUUACACAUUCGAUAAACAAAGUGCAUAAACACACGUUCAUAGUUCAACUUCAUCAUGGUUUCAGCUGAGCUGAGAUAGUCAUUUCUGUUUGUAUUGACUAUGUAUUGCCUUAGUCAGUCAAUAGCCACUGGAAAAUGAGGAUAGGAAAGCAACGCAGUCAAACUUGAACGCCAUGUUGUCUUAUAAAAAUAUCUAGAAAUCAAUUAAACUUUAUCAAAAGUCAUGAAUUGAGACAAUCAAGACUUCAAAAUCAACGUCAACCAAUAAAACCAAGAAUUUUAUUUUGAAAUGUUAUAUAAAAUUAUACACCUUCUUCAAUUUAUCAUAUAUAAACUAAAAUUUUAAACGAUUUGUUAUACUAACUUUCUGAAUCAUUAAUUUUUCAUUUAACUCUAACUUCGUUAAAUUUUUCAUUCAAAAUAACUUAUGUGAAAGGCACCCAUAACUUAUGUUCAGGACUAAUUUCAGAAGUUCAACGAAUGUCGCCCUCAUCUCUCCCCUUUGCAUUUAAUAACCACAAAGGGCAUCAAAAUGCCUUUCACUCGUAUCUGCUUUUUAGGCACCGAAAGGCAAAGGCAUUUGCCUUUCCUUUUAUUCUAGUCUGCUUUUAUUUUUGCUGUGCAGCGAAAACAACAUUCCAUUUCAUUUGAACCACAUUAUUAGUCCAUUAUAACGUUAAGCUCAUAAUUUUUUUAGUAUAAAUAAUAUCGUUUGUUUAAAAAAAAAAACUCAUAAGAGUAUAUUUUCAAAUUUAUUGGGGUUAAAGGAUCUCAAUGCACAUUAGUUGGCUCCGCAAGUAUGUGAUUUAUUUUAGAUAGAAAACUCAAUAGAGUUGGUAUGACAAAUCGCUUAAAUAUUAGUUCAUAUGAUAAAUUAAAAAAAGGGGCUUUUAGAUCCAGGUCCAAAAACAUAGAGAGUUUUUAGGAGUGAGUCCAGUUAAUAAAUUAUAUGUUUUUAUUUCUUUUAUACUCAUUUUAUAUUUUCUAAAAAUAUUAAAAAUCAGUUAAAAUCUUUUAAUAUUAUGCAUUUUUCAACUCCAAAAUAUCUAAUUAAUAUCUUAUAACAAAAAAAAUUAAUAUACUAAAAUAAAUCUAUCUGCAAAAAAAAAUUCUACCCUAACUCAAGUAGCAAAUAUAUGAAUGUAUAUUAUACCUAUAAGUGAGAUAUGGAACCUAACUAAAAGGUAGAAAAAAUAUAAUAUACCUACAAGCAAGACAUAUUAAUCUGUGACAGGUUGACUGUGAAAAAGAAUAUGUCAUAUAGGUAGAUCAAUACAAUUAACCUGUGAUAUAGGUUGAUUAUAAAAAUUAAAAUAAAAUCUAUUAAUGGAUUAAAGCACGAGGAAGAACAAGAAAUAACAAAUAUAUAAAUAAAAAGAAAUAAUCAAAGAGAUAAUUAGGAAGAAAUUUGAUUUUUACAAUAAUUUUUUUCAAUUAAGAGAUAAUUAUUGAUAAUAAAAUAAUUAAAUUUAAAGAAUUGGACCUAUUCUAAUAAACUGAACUAUUCCUACUAUUGGCUCAAAAAAUUGGAGUUAUAUCAAGUUUCCCCUUAAAAAAAAUGUAAAAAUUCCUAUAACAUUUCAAAUUUUUUUCCUAAUCUAACAAUUCUACAGUGGCAUAUAUAAAUCCAAGUAUAUUAAUUAGUAUCUUAAAUGCGGCAAAUUUCCACUUGCCACAUUGCCUAAGGUAGUACUACAAUUACUCUUAAGCAAUAAUAUUACGCUAUUGAAAAAACAACCCACAAUUUAAGCCCCACAAGGAAGAUGGGGAAAGACUUUGAAGUCAACAAGUCAAGCAAACCAUAAAUUUGCUAGAAACCAUCACACACGUCAAUCCGUUUGAUAAUUAUUAUUUAGAAUCCGUCUGAUAAUUAUAAUUAUUUUUUAUUUUUUUAAAAUUAAAAGUAGUUACUAAAUAUGUUUUAAAUUUUCAAAAAAAAAAAAAUGAUAAACUAAAAAUAAAAACGAAAUGAUUAUUAAACAGCUCAUUGGAGCUUGGAAAUUAUUUUAUUCUUUGUUUGUAGUUUUCACCAUUUUAUACUUGAGAUAAGGGAAAAUGGGAGAUGAAAUGGCUAUACAUGUAGAUGUUGUGCAAUUGGCUGUGCGGAACUGAAAUUCAAAUUACAACCACAUCACAACAAAUUACAGUUCAAUAAAAUGGGGCAUUAUGUGAAAAUUAAAAUGUAGUCCUUUCACGCACAAGACUUUUUUUUUUUGUGUUUUUAAAAGAUUUUUUUUUUCUUCUAUGGCAUAUUCAUAAGUACAAAACUUAGUCUGAAAGUCAACUUUGUAACACAAUUUCUUCUACUGAAUAAUAGAUAUAGAAGAAUUUAAAGGAAGGUAUAUGUUAAAGAAAUGAAAUUUUUAACCAAGAAAAAAAAAAUAUAUAAAAAGAUACAGUAUUUUUAAAACAAAAAACCAUUUGGGUAUUUUUCAAAUUUGUACUUAGUUAAGUUAUGCAUUAAAAGAGUGUCAGGUUAAGAAAAAAUAGCAACAACCAAAUCUUUUUAUAUAGUAGUGUUGUUCAUAAUUUAUCAAUAUAAAUAAGUUACAAUUGUUGUUGGUGAGGUUUCGUGUCAUAAAAACGUUGCAAAAUAAGCUCAUUAUCAAUAAAAACAAAUACAUCUCUCUCAAUCUAAACAACCAUACUAUCACCCAACCAUUGAUCUCAUAUUUUGUUACGCAAUGGUGUUUUCACAAUCUUCAUAGCAAAAAAAGCUCUAUCCACCAAGCGGUUGCAACCGAUAACACCAAAGUCAAUUUAAGAAGCUUAUACACUAACUUGUAGCUUGCACACCUUUCGGUCUUCACUGACUCCUUUACAAGUUCACUAAUUUCUUUCAAUGAUGAAAAUUCACUAUGCAUCUUCAUAUACUAUAUGACUAAUAACUAAAUAAACCAACAAUUCAUUAAUCAAUAGUAAUACUCAUAUAAAUAUUCAGUAGCUAAAAUUCAAUUCAAUAUCAAUAAUCAAUAAUUCAAAUUUUACCGUAAAUAACAAUUUCAUUCAUCAAUAAUUAUAAGAUUUCAUAUCAAUAAUCAAUAACCAUGUUAGCUAAUUACUCUGUAGUUCUAUAUCAAUUAAACAAAAUGUCGUAUUAUAUAAUCAAUUAGGGUUAGGGAUGACAUAAAUUUAGAAAUUAAAAAUUUUACCUAAAAAUUUGGAGAAAAGGGGCUGAAGAUGACGACUGGGCUGGGUUAGCUUGAAGUCUUUAAGCAAGGAAGACCAAACGGGCGGUUGUGCUGCUGGGGUUUCCUGUCUGAUUGGUUUUCAAAGUGGGAAAGGAGUGAAUGGAACGGGGUGGGGAAGAGUGAAGGCAACGGGGAGACAUGUGGUUCCCUUUAAUUAAUUAUUAUGUUUUAUUUCAGUAACUAAAACGAUGUCGUCCCACUAAAGGGAAUUUUUUAUUUUUUUUAACCAAGACCAAACGACGUCGUUGUCCUGGUUUUUAAGGGAACAAAAAUAGAACUCUUGUGCAGCAGAGCUGCAUAUCAGCAAUGGAACCCAGAAAAACAGACCAACUUCAUCACUUCCGACGGGUUCGGAUGGGCGGAACCACUGCUUCUAAGUUUGAUUUCCGGCGAGGGGAGGAGCAUCUACCCCUCCUUGCCCCUAUGUAGUUUCGCCCAUGUGUGUGUGUGUGUAUAUAAUUAAAAGUUCCCUUCCCUUGGAGAUGGAGGCUCUGUGCAACUGUUCCUUCGGGACGAGAGAUUUUUCAGUGUGACCGUCACACGAAAUGGUACACCAUGUGUCUUCAUAUAAAUGGUGGAAUAUUUAUGUUAAAAAGUUAAUAACUUAAAAAUUGAAAUUUCCAUAAUUUAUAUAGAAACACGUGGUGUACCAUCCAUUGACUAAGACUAGAUUGGUCUUUGGCUCACACGCCAUUACACAUUCUGUAAAUGCAUAUGUAAUUAUUCACAACAGAAAACAAAGUAAAUUUACAAAGAAGAAUAACUAGGGACCUGCCUAAGCUGUUCCUUCCUUACAUUUGGUGUCACAUAUCAGCGGCAACUUCCGAUGAAAACUCCUCUGCUUUCAUGGCUUUUCUUACUCCGCAUCUGCUUUCAUGGCAACUUACGAUGACAAAUUUCCACUUGCCACAUUGCCUAAAGUAGUACUACAAUUACUCUUAAGCAAUAAUAUUUCGCUAUUGAAAAAACAACCCACAAUUUAAGCCCCACAAGGAAUAUGGGGAAAGAUUUUGAAGUUAACAAGUCAGGCAAACCAUAGAUUUGGUAGAAACCAUCACCACGCUUUUCUUAGCGUCUCUAAGAGCCAUACAUACACACGUCAAUCCGUUUGAGUCGAUUUGGUUAUUUAGAAUCCGUCUGAUAAUUAUUAUUUUUUUAUUUUUUUAAAUUAAAAUUAUUUUCUAAAUUUUCUUUAAAAAAUGAUAAACGAAAAAUAAAAACGAAAUAAUUAUUAAACAGCCUACUUGAGCUUGGAAAUUAUUUUAUUUUUUUGUUUGUAGUUUUCACUAUUUUGUACUUGAGAUAAGGGAAAAUGGGAGAUGAAAUGGUUAUACAUGUAGAUGUUGUGCAAUUGGUUGUGCGGAACUAAAAUUCAAAUUACAACCUCAUCACAACAAAUCACAGUUCAAUAAAAUGGGGCACUAUGUGAAAAUUAAAAUGUAGUCCUUUCAUGCACAAGACUUUUUUUGUGUGUGUUUAAAAGAUUUUAUUUUUCUUCUGUGGCAUAUUUAUAAGUACAAAACUUAAUCUGAAAGUCAACUUUGUAACACAAUAUCUUCUAUUAAAUAAUAGAUAUAGAAGAAUUUAAAGGAAGGUAUAUGUUAAACAAAUGAAGUUUUUAACCAAGAAAAAAAAUAUAUAAAAAGAUACAGUAUUUUCAAAACAGAAAAACAUUGGGUAUUUUUUAAAUUUGUACUUAGUUAAGUUAUGCAUAUACAGUUUUUUUUUGGAAUAUAUAAAACUGAAAUAUGUAUAUAAAAUAAAUAAUUAAAAGUUCCCUUCCCUUGGAGACGGAGACUCUGUGCAGCUGUUCCUUCGGGACCCCCACAGCCGACACUGACUAAGACCAAAUUGGUCUUUGGCUCACACGCCAUUACACAUUCUAUAAUUACAAAGAAGAAUAACUAGGGACCUGCCUAAGCUUUUCCUUCCUUACAUUUGUGUCACAUAUCAGCAACAACUUCCGAUGAAAACUCCUCUGCUUUCAUGGCUUUUCUUACUCCGCAUUUGCUAUGUUUCACUCACCUUCCAUACGUUUGUGGUCUCUACCCAAUGUCCCGGCGAUCAGAAAUCUUUGCUGCUACAAUUGAAGGACACCCUCGCAUUUGACCCUGCAACGUCUCAAAAACUUGUGAAGUGGAACAAUGCCUCGGACUACUGCUCUUGGGAAGGAGUGUCCUGCAAAGAGGGUUGUGUUUCGAAUCUGGACUUGAGCAACGAGUGGAUUACUGGUGGACUUGAUAAUUCCAGUCCUCUUUUCGGUCUGAAGUCGAUCGAGAACCUGAAUUUGGCUCACAACUUCUUCAACUACACUCAGAUUCCUUCCGAGUUCAAACAGCUAGCCGGUUUGCGUAACCUGAACUUGUCGAAAGCUAAAUUUGCAGGGAAGGUUCCGAUUGAGAUUUCGCACUUGACGAGGUUGGUAACUCUCGAUUUGUCUACCCUCGACAAUCCGUUGCUAAAACUUGAGAUGCCGAAUUUGAAAGUGCUCAUUCGGAACUUUUCUGAGCUUGUUGAACUUUAUCUUGAUGGCGUGAAUAUAUCAGCACAGGGGACUGAAUGGUGCCAAGCUAUAUCAUCUUCACUGCCAAAAUUGAGGGUGCUGAGCUUGUCCGCUUGUUCUCUUUCAGGCCCUAUUGAUAGUUCAUUACUGAAGCUUCAAUCGCUCUCGGUUAUUCGUUUAGAUGGCAAUGAUUUCUCUAUUCAAGUUCCGGAGUUCUUCUCAAAGUUCCCAAAUUUGACUUCCUUGCACCUAAGCUAUUCUGGCUUAUAUGGUACAUUCCCAGAGAAGAUCUUCCAGGUACCUACACUACAGACUAUUGACUUAUCUUGGAAUCCGCAGCUUCAGGGUUCCUUACCAGAAUUUCCAAAGAAUGCUUCUCUUCGGUCCUUGGUUCUAUGCGGGGCUAACUUUUCAGGCCAGUUGCUUCCGAACUCUAUUGGCAACCUCAAAAUGUUGUCCGAGGUAGAUAUUCGGUGGUGCAAUUUCACUGGAUCAAUCCCAAGGUCAAUAGAAGAUCUUCAUCAAUUGGUUUCUUUUGACUUGUCAUCAAACAAGUUCAACGGUUCAAUUCCAUCCUUCAGUAUGGCCAACAAUCUGACCGUGAUCAAUCUUUUUGACAAUCAGCUGACAGGUCAGAUUAAUUCCACUCACUGGGAAAAUCUCACUAAUCUGGUGAAUCUCAAUUUGAGAUCCAAUCAACUAGAUGGGACUAUUCCGUCAUCUCUGUUUUCUCUUCCCAUGCUGCAAGAUUUAGAGCUUUCUAACAAUCACUUCUCCGGCCAGUUACCUGAAUUUGGUAAUUUUUCUUCCCUACGAGUCCUUGAUUUGAGUAGCAAUAGUUUGGAAGGGCCUAUACCCAUGUCCAUCUUUAAUCUACGAGAGCUUAUUUUUCUCUCACUUUCUUCAAACAACUUCAGUGGGUCCUUUCUGCUUAAUGAUAUUCAACAACUGAAAAAUCUCUUAAGUCUUGAUCUUUCAUACAAUAGCUUGCUAAUUAAUUAUGACAGUUCCAAUUCCUCCUGCUUUCCUCAACUUCUCUUAUUGAAAUUAGCCGCUGGAAAGUUGAGAACCUUUCCUGAUUUCUUGAGAAAUCAAUCGGCAUUAGGCGCUUUGGACCUAUCCCUAAACCAGAUUCAUGGGGAGAUACCCAACUGGAUUUGGAGGCUCAGUAAUCUUGUUCAACUAAAUCUUUCUUGCAACUCUCUGGUAAAUCUACCAGGUCCUUUCCUCAAUCUUACUUCUUCUUAUGUGCUUGAUAUUGACCUUCAUUCCAACCAGCUUCAGGGACCAAUUCCAAUUGUUUCACCAUCUUCCGCUUAUCUGGAUUACUCAAGAAAUAAUUUCAGCUCAAGCAUACCGGCAGAAAUUGGUGAUUUCCUUGUGAACACUAUGUUCUUCUCUCUUGCAAGUAAUCACAUCCACGGGAUCAUUCCAGAAUCAGUAUGCAAGGCGACAUCUCUUAAAGUUCUUGAUCUGUCCAAUAAUUCCUUAAGUGGCAUGAUUCCCCAGUGCUUGACUGCAAUAAACGGGCCUCUUGCAGUACUUGAUUUAAGGAGAAACAAACUUUCUGGCACUCUUCCAGAUAAUUUUCCUGAGAACUGUAGUCUACACACUCUAGACCUCAAUGGCAAUGUGAUUGGUGGUCAGUUCCCAAAAUCUCUAGCCAACUGCACAAUGUUAGAGGUGUUAAACCUGGGAAACAAUCAGAUAACAGAUGUCUUUCCAUGCUCAUUGAAGAGCAUAUCCAGCUUGCGUGUACUUGUCUUGCGUUUCAACAAAUUUUAUGAUCGCAUUGAAUGCCACAAGACUAAAAGUGCCUGGCCAAAGCUUCAAAUUAUUGACAUAGCUCGCAACAAUUUUACUGGCGAAAUACCAGGAAGUUUUUUUAAAAGGUGGCAAGCAAUGAUGGCUGACAAAGAUGGUGCCGUGUCAAAGAUUAAUCACCUCCAAUUUCAAGUUGUAGACUUCGGCCAGGUGUACUAUCAGGAUACCGUAACAGUUACCAUCAAAGGUCUAGCUAUGGAAUUUGUAAAGAUCUUAACAGUCUUCACUUCAAUUGACAUCUCCUGCAACAAUUUUAACGGAUCAAUACCUGAGGAAGUGGGAAUGCUCAAAUCACUUCAUGGCCUAAACUUGUCCAGUAAUGCUCUCACAGGCGCAAUCCCAUCAUCACUAGGUAAUCUAGGACAGCUUGAGUCCUUAGACCUUUCGGACAACAAAUUGAGCGGAACAAUUCCAUCACAACUUUCCAAACUUAAUUUCCUCUCAUUCCUAAAUCUGUCGAGCAAUCAACUUGUCGGGAAGAUUCCAACCGGCACUCAGAUUCAGACUUUUUCAGCAGAUUCUUUCGCAGGCAAUAAAGGAUUAUAUGGGCCACCGUUAGAUAACGGAUCACCAAUGUUGCCACCAACAUUAGAAGGCAAACAUUCUAAUUCUGCGCACAGAAUUGAUUGGGAUCUUAUCAGUGUUGAAGUUGGAUUUAUUGUUGGCUUUGGAGCUGCGGUCGGGUCACUUGUGUUGUGCAAGAGAUGGAGUAAAUGGUAUUACAAAACAAUGUAUAAAAUCCUUGUAAAGAUAUUCCCUUAGCUUGAAGAUAGAAUUGGUCCUCACCGAAGACAUGUCCACAUAAAUCAGAGGUUCGGACGUUGAAGUUAAUGAUCAUGGGGACCAAUGCAGCUGGACCUCAAGCUAUGCCUGGGGAAUUUGAGAUCCAACAAAUAAGAGGUUUGCUUUUUGGUUUUACCUUUUAAAUUUAUGUAUGUUAUAGUUAUAUUUGUAAUAGUUUAUUGUGUAUCUUUAUCCUUUGUUUUCAAUAAACUUCCUCGUACCGUCGAGGUUCUUGAAGUUAGCGUAAUUUGAUAUACCCAAAAGAGUGUACUACAUGUAAUGUAUUAUUUGUUUGAAUUGUGUAGUACAAUGUCGAGACCAACUCCACCCAAAAGAGUGUACUACAAAGAAUAUCUUGACUUCUAAAUUGCGAUAUGUUUUAACAUCUUGUCAUUCAAUUUUAAACUCAUCAUAUCCAGUUUAUUUUUCACCUCAAUUUAUAAGAGAGCAAACCAGCACUUUUUAUUUCAGAAUUUCCUCACCAACUUUUAUGUAUGAGAUUGCACCAAAAGGCAAAAGCCAACCCUCUCAGGUAACAAGAAGUAAUGAAAAACUCAACCGCUUCAACAAAAUCGGCAAACUACGGUUCAAUCAGUAUUCUCCCUUUCAUGCCUAAGCACAAUGAAAUACUCAUCUGCUUUUACAAGAGUUGAGUCACUCGCCCAAUUUCAACUGGUUUUAGGAUGAACCUCAACUUCAAUUAUAGGACAAAAGCUUCUAUCGUUUAAGACUUUAUGUUGUCAAAUGCGAAGUAUCGAUCGCGAUGAUUAGGUCUUCCAUAUUAACACUUAACUACCAUAGUUACAUACAAUACAUGAGUUUUUCGGAGAAUAUAUUUCUCUUGCUACCCAGAAAAUCAACAUGAGCAUACACAAACCAUUCUGUUUUUCUUCCACCUAUAACGGUAUGUAUGUAUGAUCGACUAUAUAUGGCCUUCGUUAGUCAAAAACUAAAAUAGGAGUAACAUGUAGAUUGCAGAUAUGCCUAGACUACUUCAAAGUGAAUUAGAGUCAAUCAAAUCAUAAACCUGAGUAAUGCACUGAAAAUUUCUGGUUUGGAAUCUCUGACGCUCAGGGAAUAAGCAAAAUGCAUGCAACAAAGCCUCCAUUGUUAACCUGAAAUAACAACAGUAUAUCAAGUUUAAUUUUCUUUUCAUUUGAAUCCUGGGUAAACAUAAUUCUUUCAAAAAGAUCGGACGCAAAUGCCAAUAUCUUACAGAUUUGUAAUUUCAUAUUGUGAACUAGCACCGCAACAAAAUAUUUACAUGUAUAUUGCAUAGUAUUUCUAAAUGCUGACCAAUUGGUAGCAUUAGCUAUUAUAUUGCAGUGUAAACCUCCUUCUGAAUGAAGGAAGCCGAGUGAUAUCUCCCACAAAUGUGAAGAACUUGUUGGAAUCAAUGCUUUUCUCUGAAGCUUUAGCCCUUACCAAAGACAAAAUCUUCAAUUAAUAACUCAAGUCCACUAAAACAAGUCUAGAAUUUCCAAGCUUAUUCCUAAAUUCUAUAACUUUCUCAACAAUAAUAUCAGAUGCCUUUGCAAGGUCAAAUUGAAAAUCUGCUGUUGAAAUGGAAGGAAAUGCCAGAGUGGAAGCAUCGUUUAGAGAACCAUCACCGUCAACAGAGCCUACAACUAGCUUUUCACCUUCCUUUGACUCCUUACCAGAUUUUUCAGAAAGUGAAACUGUUCCUUUCAAAGAGGUUUCCUUUUCUUCAGUAAUUUGAGAAGCAUUAGAAUCCGGUACACUCUUCAACGUUGAUUCAGUAUUGGCAGGACCAUCUGUUUUCUUUAAGAACUUCAUUAUACCUGGUUGAAUUUUUGCACCGGGGUUCUUCUGACCAAAAUAACCAUUGGGCAGUGUAUCUAACGGACCAAGUCCACUAUAUGCAUCAACGGAAGAUUGAUCAUCACUCUCACUCUGGCAACAAGUAAUUCUAGCAAACCCUUCACUCAGCUCAGGCAGUUCUUUGUUCUGCAGCAUUCUAUUCACAAUCGCCACAGCUUUCCCGCCUUGCACGUUUCCUUCAUGGCCCGUUCGCUUCACAUACCGCAAUAUACAAAGCUUGGCAGGAAGAUCAAGCACCACAGCAUGAACAUCAACUUGGGAACUACCACCAAGCUUCACAAAAUCAUCCCAUUUUUUCUUUCUCCACAUUACAACUAUCUAUAAACACACACUACCCAUCCUUCAACGCAUUCAUUGCACUAUCUAUACACUGCCCCUUCGUUCCGGCUUUACCAAUUUUGAUAGUAUCCUACAAAAACAUAAAUAUGAACAUAUAACAGCAUAAAACAAGAACCCAAAUGAAUAGAAAUCCGGAGUACCAUAUUACGUACUCAAAAUAACAAUCUUGAGCCCACUGCGACAUUUCAUCGAACACACUGUGUGCACAGAGAUAUACCUGGCAAACGCAAACCCAAGGGCGAGUGGAGCGCAUGACAUGUUCGCAGAAGGUAGACUUGCCGCUUCUAGGCGCACCCACCAAUAUUACUACGACAGGUUUUAUGAUCACCGAAGGCGACGACGACCGAGAAUGGUAAAACGCGGCGUUUUUGAGAAGGGGCGUAUCUUUGGCUGUUUCGUCGAUAUCCAUGUCCAUGUUUUGGAAGACUCUGCAAGGCACUUUUGAAUUAACGGCGGAAAAGCAGCGGUUUCUUCUAGCAUUGGGCUGGAAGCCUGAAGCUUCUAUCGCCGGUGCCUGGUGCUUGCGUAAUGGAACACAUGUCACACAUCGUCGACCCGAAAAUUGACAAGAUCCGAUUCGAUUUAGAUUUUAUCCAUAUAUUAGCAUCUUCGCAAACGCCCACGCACAAACCAGAAUAUUUUAAUCAUGGGCCUUACGCACCCUUUUGAGAAGGGGCGUAUCUUUGGCUGUUUCGUCGAUAUCCAUGUCCAUGUUUUGGAAGACUCUGCAAGGCACUUUUGAAUUAACGGCGGAAAAGCAGCGGUUUCUUCUAGCAUUGGGCUGGAAGCCUGAAGCUUCUAUCGCCGGUGCCUGGUGCUUGCGUAAUGGAACACAUGUCACACAUCGUCGACCCGAAAAUUGACAAGAUCCGAUUCGAUUUAGAUUUUAUCCAUAUAUUAGCAUCUUCGCAAACGCCCACGCACAAACCAGAAUAUUUUAAUCAUGGGCCUUACGCACCCUUUAAAGAUGGGUUUGCUUUAAUUAUUUUUCUAGUUGUUUAAAAUUGUUAUUUGGUAAAAAAUUUGUGAGGACCUUUCCUUAUCAUAUUAGGCAUCAAAAUUUUCUUAUCCUUUUCUUUUUCAAUCAUCUUCUUGUGAUAAUUUUUUCUAUAAUUGUGUUAAGCCCUCCGUAUUCCGGUAACCUACAACAUGUUAAAUCUAUAGAAAUUAUAAACUUGUUAAUUACGUUCAUAGCACAAAGGCCUAUACAUACAAUCGUGUUUAAUUGGUGUACAGGUAAGGAUCUCUUCAAAUUAUGAAUACAAUCAGAACCAGAUUACACUAUUAAUUGCUAAACCUUAAGAAGGACGAUUUCCUUGCACAAGACUCCUUCUCUAACAUCAUGACAAACUAGACGGUCGAGAGGCGACAAGUUUGGACCAUAGAAGAAUAAACCGUGGUUUAGAUAGACCUUUUGUCAAGAGAUUUGUUAGUUGAUCCAAGAAUGGGAUGAAAUGAACUUUGUGAGUACCAAGCUUAACAUGUUCACGAACAAAAUGAUAAUCUAACUCAAUAUGCUUUGUGCGAGCAUGAAAUACCUGGUUGGCUGCGAUAUACCUAGUACUAAGAUUAUCACAAAGGAGAUAGGUGGGCAAAGAGGCAUGAAACCGAAGUUCAUGAAGUAAGUGUUGCGUGAGUCAACCUUAGAAAAUAAGGAAUGUAGAGAUUUUUUGGGUAUAUAAUUAUGUAAUUGGUAUCCUUGUGUUUAUGGGAUACUUGUUUCCUAAUUUAUAGGAGAUUGUAUCAGUUUAUAUACCUCUCUACGAGAGAAGAAUAAUAAGAAAAUAUAUUCACCAAAACCCUAGAAUUUUAUCUUGGUAUCAAGAGCCAGGUUUCGACCUGACUCCUCUCGGAAAAAGAACCCCUAAACAUCGUACAUGCCCUAACCUGUGAAACUUUGGUUCUCAAAUUUUGAACCCAUAGGUCAAACCCGUAGUCUUUGGAAACAACAGAGCUACACUGUCAGUACAAUGGCAGAAAACAAAGCAGGUGCCCUAAUUCCCAUGCACCCCGUGGCUGCUCAGGGUGAGUCUACCAAUAUCAAUGCCGUUCCAUUCGGGUUUCGAUUGAGCGACUCGAACUUCAAGGUUUGGUCCAAGAUGAUGGAGGUUCACGCUUCAGGACUCGGGAAGCAAGGCUAUUUAACGAGUAAAAUUCCGGCCGUUGAUGAAGAUGAUCCAGGAUAUGUAAAGUGGGCAACUGAAGAUGCUAUCGUACGCGGGUGGUUGCUCAAAACCAUGGAACCACACCUACUUGGUCUCUUUAUAGACUUACCCACUGCCAAAGAUAUCUGGGAGACUGUCACCCAGAUGUUCUAUGAUGGUUCCGAUGAGUCACAAUACUAUGAACUCCGGUGCAAGGCUACACGAACGAGACAAGACGGUCGUCCAAUCAAUCUAUAUUUAACUGAACUAAAGGGUGUUUGGCAGGACCUAGACAGGAGACGUCCUCUCCGUAUGGUGUGUGGAGCGGACCUGAAAACUCAGAAAGAAGAAGUUGCAAAAGAUAGGGUGUACGACUUUCUCGCUGGAUUAGAUAGCGGUUUUGACCAAGUUCGGAGUGAGAUUCUAAGGAUGAAACCUAUCCCUGGAAUCGAAGAAUGCUUCAAUUUGGUACGACGAGAAUCCCAGAGAAAGGCCACUAUGAUGGGAACAAAGACUACGAUGGCAGCACCCCCUAUGGCUAUGGCAACCAAGGCGUCUAGUUCACGUCCACGGGCAUAUGGAAACACUCGAUCAUCUCGUACCCAGGAGGAUAUCGAUAAAGAUAAACUCCAUUGUAAUCACUGUAAUGGAACACGACACACUGAGGACACCUGUUUUGAAAUCCAUGGCUACCCAGAUUGGUACUGGGAAAGAAAGAAGGAGUUGAAGGCUAGGGAACUAAAAGGAUGGGUCAAGUCCGUGUAGCGGUUUCUGGAUCUGGAGCGGCAUCUAGUGUACAAGGGAGUCAAACUGGGCUCCAAGCCCAACUUGGAAAUUCUGAGGGAACCCGAGGAGUUGCUGCUAUUGCAGCGAGUCAGCACCGGCCUAUUUCGUCCAACCCAAUCACAGCAGCCCAAGCUGCAAGGUCCACUCCAAAUGCGGCAUCCACAGAAGAUGAAAACAGCCCACUCCUAUCUUUAAUCAAUCAAAUAUCAGUGAGUGACAAUCCAGAAGAUUCAGGUAAAAUCGGUUAUGUUUUAAUAACAUCCACAAAAAAAGAUACUGGUUGGAUAAUUGACUCUGGAGCUUCGGAUCAUAUGACUUAUGAUGCGUCAUUAUUCUAUCACAUGACUUUACCGUCUAAAGAAGAGGUCAUUACUGCCAAUGGUGACGUUGCUCCUGUAACAGAAGCAGGUUCUAUUUCACUUACUCCAUCUUUGUCCAUUCACAACGCACUACUUGUUCCGUCUUUAUCCAACCAUCUACUUUCCGUUGGUCAAGUUACUGAGCAAUUAGACUGUGUUGUGCUAAUGUUUCCCAAUUUUUGUCUACUUCAGGAUAUCCAGACUCGGGCGAUAAUUGGGCGUGGUACUAAAAGGAGGGGGUUAUAUUAUGUGGAUGAUGUCUCGGCAAGUCGAGUAAAUCAAGUACGUAGCAGUCACUCAAACAAGACUAAGACAGUUUGGUUAUGGCAUCGUCGAUUAGGACAUGCAUCUUUUGGUUAUUUGAAAAAAUUGCUUCCAUCUUUAUUUCAUGGCAUUUCAGACUCUGAUUUCCAGUGUAAUGAUUGCAUUCUUGCAAAAAGUCAUCGUACUUCAUAUAAUUUGAGUUUCAAUAAAAGAACAGUUCCUUUUGAGUUAGUUCAUUAUGAUGUGUGGGGGCCUUCUCCAGUAGCUACUAAUCAUGGGACUCGUUGGUUUGUUAUCUUUGUGGAUGAUUGCACCAGAAUGACAUGGCUUUAUACUAUGAAGAAUAAAAGUGAUGUUGGUCAAAUAUUUCACCAGUUUUACUGCAUGGUGAACAAUCAAUAUUCUCUUCCCCUCAAGGUUCUUCGGUCUGAUAAUGGUGGGGAAUAUCUCAAUACUGAACUUUCUCACUAUUUUCAGGAGCACGGCAUUCUUCAUGAGACUACCUGUCCACAAACCCCACAACAAAAUGGGGUUGCCGAACGCAAAAAUAGACACAUUUUGGAAACCACUAGAGCACUACUUAUCGGUGCUCAUGCUCCUCAUUCCUAUUGGGCGGAUGCCGUCAGAUAUUCUGUUUAUCUCCUGAACCGAAUGCCCUCUCGAGUGCAUAAUUUUCGCACUCCUAUAGAAGUUUUUGCCAACCAUGUGAUGUUACCAUCCUCACUCCAUUUGCAACCCCGUAUUUUUGGUUGUGUAGCCUAUGUGCACCUCCACAAAAAUCAGCACAGUAAGUUGGAUCCAUGUGCAGUUCGAUGUAUUUUUCUGGGAUUUAAUGGUCAGCAGAAGGGGUACCGAUGUUAUCACCCACCUACCAGGCAUAUGUAUGUCACCAUGGAUGUCACAUUUUCCGAACAUGAGAUGUUUUUUCUUCCUGAUCACACUCACUAAAAUCUUCAGGGGGAGAUGAGCAUAGAAGAUUAUAGUUGGAUUGAUCUUCCAACAGAGCAGGUGCAUGGUCACCGUGAGCAAGACAUAUGCAGUGGUGGGAUUUGCCAGCCACCUGUGAUCAACCAAGACCCAACAGUGGGGUCGAGUGACUGCCGUGAGCCCAACAAAUGUGUAGAAGAGCACCGAGAGCCCAGCAGCAUUGGGGAGCCCAAUAUGGGCUUGCUAAGCUUAAAUGAUCAGGGUGAGCCCAAUUUGGAUUUGAAUAUUUGCCGCAAGCCCAAUCAGGCAGGUGUACUUGAGCUCAGCGUGCCAUAUAAACCCAGCGCAGGUAAUGGACCGUGCUGCAACAUUCUACACCCUUUGACUCAAAAUGUGGACAACCCAAAUGCUUCAAGAAAUAACCUCUCCCUAGUUGUACCCGUCCAGAUGCCUGAGGAUAUCCAUGAGGUAAGUUUGUCUCAUUCUGAAGUAGCUCAUAAUUUGACUAACAUUGAAAGUACUUAUGUAGCCUCCUAGACAAAAUCGUGGAAAACCUCCUGACAGGUAUUCUCCGGAUGAAAAAAAUGAGAUAUGCAAUUGCAAAGUAUGUCUCUACGCAUCGGUUAUCUCCCAAGUACCAAGCAUUUGUGAAUACAAUGGAUGGAAUCAAAAUUCCAACUAAAGUGGAAGAAGCCUUGCAGGAUCCUCGAUGGACAGAAGCAAUGGAAGUUGAAAUGAAGGCCUUACAAAAUAACAGAACUUGGAGCGUAGAGUCACUACCCCAAGGAAAAAAACCAGUAGGGUGCAAAUGGGUGUUUACCAUCAAACACAAGGCGGAUGGAACCAUCGACAGAUACAAGGCAAGGUUGGUUGCUAAGGGGUACACACAGACUUUCGGAGUAGAUUAUGGGGAAACAUUUGCUCCGGUAGCAAAGAUGAACACUAUACGGGUUCUCUUAUCUUUAGCUGCUAAUUUUGAUUGGCCGUUGAAACAAUUUGAUGUAAAAAAUGCUUUUCUACAUGGAGACCUAGAAAAAGAAAUAUACAUGGAGCUUCCACCUGGGUAUGAAGUGCAGAAUAGAACAGGUAAGGUGUGCAGACUACGAAAGGCUCUUUAUGGACUUAAACAAUCGCCAAGGGCCUGGUUUGGAAGAUUCACUGAUGCAAUGAAGAAAUAUGGUUACCGACAAGGAAAUGCUGAUCACACUUUGUUUAUCAAACGCAGGGGUAAAAGGUUACCUUGUUAAUAAUAUAUGUGGAUGAUAUGGUAGUCACAGGUGAUGAUACCGAAGAGAUGGACAGACUACAGGUGUAUCUCUCUACGGAGUUUGAGAUGAAGGAUUUAUGAGGUUUGAAGUAUUUCUUGGGAAUUGAAGUUGCUCGUUCCCGUGAUGGUAUUUACUUAUCUCAGCGAAAGUAUGUUCUGGAUCUGUUGUCUGAAACAGGGAUGUCGGCUUGUAAACCAGCAGAAACGCCGAUAGUUCAGAAUCAUCAUUUGGCAAUAUACCCGGACCAGGUCCCGGCAAACAGGGAAAGAUAUCAAAGGUUAGUAGGAAGGUUGAUUUACUUGUCUCUCACUAGACCAGAUAUUGCAUAUGCUGUUAGUGUAGUAAGUCAAUUUAUGCACUCUCCUAGUGAAGAUCACAUGGAUGCAGUAAUGCGAAUAUUAAGUUAUUUGAAGGGUGCACCUGGAAAGGGAUUGUUGUUCAAGAAACAACGGCAUUUGGAGGUCAAAGGGUACACUGAUGCUGAUUGGGCUGGGAAUAUUACUGAUAGACGCUCUACAUCGGGGUAUUUUUCAUUUAUUGGCGGAAAUCUCGUGACUUGGAGAAGCAAGAAACAGAAUGUGGUUGCUAGGUCAACAGCUGAGGCUGAAUAUCGUGGUAUGGCACAUGGAAUUUGUGAGUUAUUAUGGCUGAGGAUUCUUCUUACAGAGAUUGGGUUCGAGCCACAUGGAACUAUGUUAUUGUAUUGUGAUAAUCAGGCUGCGCGGGAAAUAGCUAAUAAUCCAGUUCAGCAUGAUCGUACCAAACAUGUUGAGGUGGAUAGACAUUUUAUCAAAGAAAAGUUGGAUGUUAAGUUGGUAGAAAUUCCGUACGUAAGAUCUGAAGACUAGUUGGCCGAUGUGUUAACUCAUGCAGUGUCAGCAAAAGUGUUUCAGGACUCACUUGGCAAGUUGGGCCUAGGUGAUAUCUACGCACCAACUUGAGGGGGAGUGUUGCGUGAGUCAACCUUAGAAAAUAAGGAAUGUAGAGAUUUUUUGGGUAUAUAAUUAUGUAAUUGGUAUCCUUGUGUUUAUGGGAUACUUGUUUCCUAAUUUAUAGGAGAUUGUAUCAGUUUAUAUACCUCUCUACGAGAGAAGAAUAAUAAGAAAAUAUAUUCACCAAAACCCUAGAAUUUUAUCUGUAAGUAGGACACCUAAAGAGAUUCGAUACAGGUGUGAGCAAGAGCACGAUACUCAGACUCCACACUAUAGUAAGAAACAGUAGGACGUUUUGUAGAACUCCAUGAUAUGAGAUUCGGACCCAUAAAUAAAAGAUAACCAGAUGUCAAUUGACGAGUGUCAGUACAAGCCCAAUUUGCAUCGGAAUAACCCUGGAGAAUGAGGGGACCAUGGUGAGGCCAAAAAAUCAAACCAAAUCCACCAUAAAAUCAAUUGACAAAAUGGAAAGUAACUCAAUAAAUUAUAAGCACAUUCGUCACUUCUUUCUUCGACGUGGGAUGGAUACUCAAAGUCCACUAUAAAAUUGAAGAAACUUGUACAAAGUUAGAGUAGAUUUUCCAAUCUCCUUUGUUAGUGACAACAUAACUACCUUUGCCUAAAGGAAAAGGAUCAUCGCCGAUCCUUUUCCUAGGGAUCCUAGGAAUUUCGUGAUCCAGACAAUCCAUCGUACAUCGUGUGGUUAAAAAUCAUUUUAAAAUUUAAAAUUAAAUAUAAAUAGUACUUAAAGAAAAUUGAUCGCAUGAUUAAUAAUGAACGAUCCGGAUCACUGGAUUCCUAAGAUCCCCAUGAAAAGAUUCCAGCGAGGAUCCUUUUCCUUGCCUAAAGGGCAGGAAGACAGUCUAAGGAAAGGAUUUGGAUCCUCGCUGGAUCCCCUCACUGGGGAUCCUAGGGAUCAAUACACGUGGACCGUUGAUCAAAAAUCGUGCAGCCACAAUUUUUUCUUGUUUAUAUUUUUUACGUAAAACGAAGCUGCUUUACUUUUAAAAAUAUAAAAAACAUUUAAUUGGGACCGCAUGAUUUUUUAUCAACGGUCCACGUGUGUUGAUCCCUAGAUCCCCUUAUCCCCAGGAAAGGGAUCCGGCGAGGAUCCAAAUCCCUAAGGGAAACCAGGGUAGUUGGGGUAUGACACGUCGCAUCGCAUGGGACCCUUUUUGACCGUUUAGGCAGAAUAUUAAUACAACUCCAAAGACUCCAAGAAAGAUAUGUACCACACGACGACUCCUUUCCCUUGUCUAGACUCCAAAUUGGUAUGGAACUCUAAUCAUUGCCCUUAUUAAUUUAUCUUUGUGUAUGUGUUUGUUUCCCUCGAUUUUUAGACGUGUAUUUUGGUGCGAAACUGUUUUACAAGUUCCGGCAGGUUAGGUAUUAUUCAUGAUUGUGCUCGGUAGAAAAGGUUUUUUUAAUUUUUUAGUAAGCGUUUUGGGAGAAAAAAAAAAUUAAGAUACUUCUUUGGAAAGUACUUUCUCGUACUUGCAAGGAAGCACUUGGGGGUUUUGAUAAAAAUUCAACUUGUUUCUAAUUAAAGCACUUUUAACAAAAUCGUUUAUGAACAAAAUAUUUCUUACAAGAAUAGUCCCUGAUCACUCGGUCUUUUUUUAUGUGCAAAUCAUAGUAAGCAAAACAACUAAUAAGCACCAAACUCCACGGCUAAACGUCAAAUUUUACCGACAAGAUUGCAUGACUUUUGCUAUUUACCAACAAUGACACUGACAUCAGCUUCAAAAUCAUCCAUAAUUGAAAUAACAAAUAAACAAUAAUUUGUUCUUCUUUUCCAAAAAGAAGAAAAUGUUAGGGUGACUCUCUUAAAAAUGAGAUUCUUUGUCACAUCAUGUUUUUACAUUAGGUUUUAUAAUGUUGACACGUGAAUUAACGUAAUUUGUGAGGUGUCAGAGAGUUCAUAAAGAGUCUACUUUGAGAUAGUCUCCUUAGAAUUUCUCUUCCAAAAAUUGACCUACAAUUCAAGAUGCCCGACUUAUAAAUGAUUUCACACCACAAAAUUGUAGUAUUUAAUCCUUGUGGCACUGAAAUCAACAUUUCUUAUCAAGAAAUUAAGAAACGAUGCAUGAUAGAUGCUAAGGAGACUCUCUAAAUAAUUGUUUAUAGUAACUUAGAGGUUAUUGUAAAUUUGUAAUUAGGGUUUCGUCAAGGAUAUACCUACCUGCACUGAUAACACAAUAAUAUAUCGCUAUUGAUGACGUUAUUUAACUCGAAGCAAUACCCUUAAUGUGUGGGGUUAUCCUUUUUCUUCACUAAUCACAGUAAAAUGAACAAAAGAAAAUUUCUGGCCCUCACUAAACAGCCGGCCAAGAUUUCAAAUUCUAUAAGUCAACAAGUCAACCCAGCAAUUAAUAUCGAAAUUCUAUAGUGUGACUUAUCAUGUUGUAUGUCUGUGGAUGUGAUGACAGUUUAAUUGUAUAAACAAGGGUUUCGGGCAAUAGGAUUGCUUAUCAUGUUUCGCAAUUAAAUGGAAAAAAAGGUCGGCUCAAAUUAACUUCACAACAAUUUGUUUUGCCCUGAUUGAAAUUGAAUUGGUUGAAAUAUGUAUGAUUGGUUUAGCUGUGUAUUCGAUUUAUUGACGAGGUGUGCAGUUUAUUCAAAUUGCUUAUUCGUAGAGGAUUUUGACAAGUUUCGUGGAGCUGUGGACUGUGUUAUGCAGCGCAAUCCAUUAAAUAUGACUGGACAUGAUUAGAAGAACAUGUUAUGUAGAACUGUCAAAUAUUAUUUUAGGCAAGUGCUCAAAUUGUGAGAGAGAUUAGUGUACAUUACUUUCUGUGGUUAUGAAGUACUGAGGGGAGGAUUGAUAUUUUUGGAGCUUAACAUUCCGGAGUUAGCAAAUGAGACUUCUUUCUGGGAAAUUUAAACCCCCUUGAUCUCAGGUUUACAUAAAAUAGGACUUAUGGAAUAGAUUUCAUAGUUGUACAUCUAUGGCAUCAUUACACUAUGAAAUAGGACUUUAAAUUCGCUGCUCUAACUUUGAUGGUCAUCUAUAUUAGUGUUAUUAUUACGUUUUGGUCAUCUUUUCACUAUCAUCUCUCUCAGUCAUGACUUAGGUACUACAGAAUGGGUUUUUGUGCAUCUGUUUAUUUGUAAUUGUCCAAAUAGCAAUGUAAUUGUUGAAUAGGUUUUUGUGUAUCUUUGCUGCUCCGUAUAAAUUAGCUUGAGGUUGCUUGACAGGUGACAGUGAAUUUACCAUGAGGUUAUGUAGUACCUUACAAAUAAACGUCUCUGUCAUGACAUAUAUUGUGAUUUUUUUUUUCCUUCCAUCUGUUUGUUGAUACAAUCCUUUAGGUAGAGCAUGUUAUGAUGUUUCCAAUUUGAUAAAUGCCGUUAAGUCUUUAUGAAUUCAACCAUUGUAUGAUUUGCAUUUAUUUAGAAUUCAUAAGAACUUAAAAAAUCUAGAACUGCAGUGUAUAAACUUGGUUAUUUACUUCUCACGCCAUUGAGGCACAAAAGUUGUUCCUGCACUAAGUUCUUUAUAUCGAAAUUGAACAAAUUUAAUUUUCCUUUAUAUCCAAAUGCAUUAAAGUAAUUGUGAGUUGUAUGACAUGACUGUUCAAUUAUGGCCUUGGCUGAAGCCCCUUGCUUAUCUUAAUAAAUGUGCUUGCUUAUCUUAGUAUACAUAUGUGUUUUGCCGCUUAUCAAAAUCUGUUAGCCAAUAUUUUCGCACCGCUCUUUCGCACUCUUUUCCACGGCUAUCAUGUUUCUCUCUAACCUUCUAAAUUGUACCUUCAUUCACAACAAAAAACCUCGCAGUGAGCAAAUAGAGACAACCAAUUCUACUAUAAUUGCUAGAGAAUUCCAUAAUUUGGUUGUCCCUAAGAUUGAGCCCGCAGACAAAGAGCCGAUAGCCGCACUCAGAACAAAGUCUCAAGCCAAAAAAACCAAAGAUAGGUAAGUUACUAUUUGUUUUUCACAUGCACGCCUACAUAACAUCCGUCAUACCAGUGUUCACUAAACUAUUAUUUAUGUUUUUUGCUAUAGUGCGAAAGAUGUCCGCCCACAAAAAAAAAUGAAUGACCGCAGUCUCCGUUAUUAGUUGCUACAAAGGCGUUGUCCAUGUUUUUGCCUUUGAACAUAUGUGCUUGAAAACUUCCUUGCUGAACCAACAACAGAACAGUUUUUAUGGUUUUUGUUAACUACUAAAACAGGUGGCUGACCUGCAAGACAUGUAUUUUACCACCUUAACUACGGGGCAAAAUAUGUGUUGACUGCAUCUUGCUUCUGUUUCUUCUGUUUCUUACGGAAACAGGCAUCCUGCAUCUUUUUUGCUUUGGACAUUAGUGCUUGAAAGAUUAGCUAUUGAAACAAGAACAACAGAGCAUUUUUUGCAACCGUAUCUUUUGUAAUCAGCUCUGUUCAAUGUUUAUAAAACCCGAACUGCUUAUCUUACCAACGCCGUUCACUCAUCUAUCCCUUUUGUUUGUUUAUGAUUAUGUUGAAUUUUUUUCAGGUUCAAUGUGUCUUAUUCAUGUGGUUAAGGCUGGUGCAUUCAAGUCCCGCAACAACGCGGGGGCAUUUUUACUAGUAACUGCUAAAAGAGAGGGUUAACAUUUAACUACUAAAAUGAUUUGAAUUGGGCGUGUUCCUCUGUUAGAGACUUAAUUGAAGGAAGUUACCCCGAUGAGUCCUCCAGGAUAUCAUAGUGACAUACAAUCGAUGAGUUUUUCAGACAAUAUAUUCUCUUGCUAUCCAGAAUAUCAGCAUGAGCAUACACAACUGUUUUGUUUUUCUUCCACCUACAACGGUGUUUGUAUUUGAUCGACUAUAUAUCACCUUAAUCAAUCAAUAACUAAAAUAGGAGCAACAUGUAGAUUGCAGAAAUGCCUAGACUAGUUCAAAGUCAAUCAAAUCAUAAACCUGAGUAAUGCACUGAAAAUUUCUGGUUUGGAAUCUCUGACGCUCAGGGAAUAGGCACUGACUCAUUCAAGUGUGUUUAUAUGGAAGCUAAUCUAAAUUAUUUGUUCAAUUUAUCCCGUUAGUAACAUCACGUCAAGUGAUUUUGUAGAAUGCACUGGGAGAAUGCCGCUUUCGACCAAAAAAUUAAAGAAAAACUAACGAGAAGUCUAAAGAAACUUUAGUUUUAAUUAAAAAUAACAAACAAAGGUGUAAUGAAUAGUACCAUGGAAAAGUAAAAAUAUGGUUUUUGGUUAAGAGUGAAUAGUACAUUGAGUGUUUCGUUAAAACUCUAAAAAAUUAAACAUGAUUUCAUUAAUUACCCCACUUGUCUUGAAAAGAGAGACUUAUGCUUCGUUUGUAAAUACUUUUAAAAUUAUUGAAAGCGUUUUUAAAGAAAAUGUUUUUGGAUUCGAAAAACACUUAAAAUACUUUGUGGAAGAAGCAUCACUUCAAGUAAUUUUUGAGGAUUCACCUUUUGUUUUUACUAAAGAUUGGUUUCAAAACAUUUUCUCUAAAAUGCAUUUAAUCGUUUUAAAAGCACUUUCUAAUAAGCUCUUAUAUGAAACUGGAAGUGUAACCCAUGUAUAUGAACGUGGGGUAUACACUGUUUCGUGAAGUUUUAGCCCCGAGUUGGGGCGAAAUUUUACCCUUCUUUCCACUCAAUAGUCCGUCGACAUCGAAUAAAACAACCGACACUUUGAAGUCAACAAGUCAAACAAAUCACAAAAUUAUACCUGCUAUACACAUUACCAUCACGUUUUCCUUAGUAUGGCUCGCUUAAGUUAUUUAGGAUUUGUUUGAUAAUCAGUUCUUUUUAUUUAUUUUUAAAUUAAAAGUAGUUACCAAAUAAAUUUUUAAUUUUUAAAAAAUAAAAAGAAAUGAAAAUAGAACGAUUAUUAAACGGUCUUUGGGAAUUUGAAAGUCGUUUCCAUUUUUUUUUUGUGUUGAAAUUUGUUUGUUAACCAUUUCUUUUGCAUGUGAACGAUUUCCUCUUUCGCCUUACAAAAAUUAAAAUAUCUAUUUACGGUCUUCUGUAUGGCAUGGUUUGAAGCGUGUUUUGCAUAUUCUAAAUAAUAAUAAUUGUUGAAUUAUUAGUGAUGGGAGGUCAGUUUUCUUUUGGUAUAUGCAUAGCUUACAUUUUGAUUUUAUUUUAUUUAUUUAUUAUUUUCAAUUGACACGUGAGAACUAUAAUUUGGACCUUGAAAAACUUUAUAAAAUAUAGGACAAUUGUUUUACACAUUCCGAUUAACCAAGUGCAUAAAUACACGUUCACAGUUCAAACUUCAUCACGGUUUCAGCUGACGCUUAGAUAGUCAUUUUUGUUUGUAUUGACUAUGUAUUGUCGUGGUCAGUCAAUAGCCACUGGAAAAUGAAGAUAGAAAAGCAACACAGUAAGACUUGAACGCCAUGUUGUCUUAUAUUUUACUCUAAAUUUUACAUGAACAAUAUCUAAAAAUCAAUUAAACUCCAUCAAAAGUUAUAAAUUGUGACAAUCAAGACUUCAAAAUCAACGUCAACCCAUAAAAACAAGAGAAAUUUUUUAAAAUGUUAUGUGAAUUUAUACACCUUCUUCAAUUUGUCAUAUAUGAACGAAAAUUUUAAGCGAUUUGUCAUACCAACUUUUCGAAUCAUUAAUUUGUCAUCUAACUUUUCCUCCGUUAAAUUUUUCAUUCAAAAUAACUCAUGCGUAAGGCACGCAUAAUAUGUUCAGGAUUAAUAUUUGAGACAUUUCAACGAGUACUGUCCCCUUUGCAUUUAAUAACCACAAAAGGCAUCAAAAUGCCUUUCAUUCGUCUCUGCUUUUUAGGCACCGAAAGGCAAAGGCAUUUGCCUUUCCUUUUUUUUUUCAGUCCGCUUUUCUUUUUGCCGUGUAGGUGGAAAUUUCCGAAGGUAACAGUUGCUUCUCCAAGUCCUUGCCCCCACGGCCACGGCCACCCGCUUUUAGUUCUGUUCCUAUUUUUCAUGCAGGUUACAGACUUGCAGAUAUGGGAUUUGGGAGGGAGAAGACUUCAAAGUCAAGCCACACGUUUACCAUGCCUAUUAAAGUUGCCACAACCAUUCUCAGUUUCUCACAACUUAAUUUCCCUAAGCUUCUCUCUAAACCUCAAAAUAUUAAGUUUAUCCAAGAUGAAACCUCUCUUCCCACUCCCAUAUUUCUUCCUCCUGUUCUUCAUCAUCAUUAAUACUUUCUGUGUUAACAUUGCGGCUGCAGUCCAUGGUCGGUGUUUCGAAGACCAGCAAUUGCUCCAUCUGAAGAAAAGCCUCACCUUUGCUCCCGAGUCAUCUGAGCAUCCUGCUUCAACCAAGUUUAUAUCAUGGAAUUCAAGUACCGACUGCUGUUCUUGGGCUGAUGUUACUUGCAAUGCCAACGGCAGCGUUGUUGGUCUUGACAUUAGUAGCAAAACAUCUCCGGUGGCAUUGACAACUCGAGCACUCUCUUCCAUCUUCAACAUCUUCAAAGCCUCAACUUGGCUGAUAACUCUUUUGUUAACGGCUCACGCAUUCCAUCAUCAAUCGGAAAGCUUACCAACUUGAGGUAUCUAAACUUAUCUGAUUCUGGUUAUUCCGGAAAGAUUCCCAUUGAGAUUUCACGCUUGACAAGGUUGGUUGUCCUAGAUAUUUCUCUAUGUAAACAUCAGUGUGCCACCAAACUUGAGAGCCCGACUUUGAGCAUGCUCUUUCAGAACCUCACAGAGAUUACAGAGCUAUAUCUUGAUGGGAUAAAUAUAUCAGCACAGGGGAGUCAGUGGUGCCAAGCAAUAUCAUCUUCACUCCCAAAUCUGAGGGUGUUGAGCAUGUGUGGAAGCCAGCUCUCAAGUCCUUUUUGUCAGUCCCUCGCAAAACUUCAGUCUCUCUCAGUGAUUCAAUUGGAUAGUAAUGACAUCUACGGUCCAAUUCCAGGAUUCUUUCCCAAGUUGACUUCUUUGAGUCUUUGUAAUUGCAUUCUGAAUGGAACAUUUCCCAAAGAGAUCUUUCAGGUACCUACUUUACAAGCUAUUGACCUUUCCGGUAACAUACAUCUUCAUGGUUCUUUUCCAGAAUUUCUUGAGAAUACAUCUCUUGGAUUUUUGGACCUAAGCCACACAAAGUUUUCAGGGUUAUUGCCUGACUCCAUCGGCAACCUCAAAUUGUUGUCCAUUUUAAAUCUUUAUAACUGCAGUUUUAGUGGAUCAAUCCCUAAGUCCAUGGCAAGCCUAACAAAAUUGUUUUACUUGGACAUGUCGUCAAAUAUGUUUAAUGGUUCGAUUGAUUCUAUUUACUGGAAAAAGCUUGUAAAUCUCGAAUAUUUAGCUUUGGAUUCAAAUUUCCUCACAGGUAGUAUUCCGUCAUCUCUGUUUUCAGAUAAGGAACAUCCUCAAUGUCUGGACAAGUGCAAUAAACACUCAUUACAAGAUUGCCAGGUGCCUUAACAACCUCGCCUGCAACAUGGGCUGCCAUGGAAAGACUGUCCUUCCCACAAUCAAUUGCAAUACCAAGUUCAAUCAUUGCCACUGAAAGAGCUGUAGCAGCAUCAUACAUAGCUGCUUCUUCCCCAUCAAGCUUGGUUGCAUACAUCCAAUUCCCGCUGUCUUUAACAUCAGAUAGAGAAGUGACCUUUGCCCAAACAAGAUUUGUGAGUGCUUCUCCAACAGCCAAUCUCGCCAUUGCUUUUGGAUCCAACAAACCUUUGAUUGGCUACUCCCCAAUGGCACAUGCACCUCCAGUCAUGUCAGUAAAAGUCUGCGCUAUUACUGCAACAACAGAGAGAGGAAUUUGCAACGGCCCAACAGUUUGCUGCUGUGCUACAAGACCUGUAACACACCUGUCUACUUUGGAUGCCAAGAAGCGCUUUGAACAAACAGAUGGAAGUCUCAACACCCUCUUAAGUGAAUCCAUCACUGUUAUUCCAGGAGCAGUAUCAAGUGGUUCUCGUGCAUCAGUCAUCCUGUGGAAUUCAAAACUUUUCUGUGGCAUAUCACCAAGGACUUUCUCAAGCUCCAAAUCGACGGCAGGAGAUGUCUCAUGCAUGAUAACCAUCAUUCAUGGUUUAACAGAAAACAUAAAGGUGCAUUAGUAUUCUGCAGAUUUCAAAAUAAUUGCAGAUAACACAUGAUCAAAUCACCCAAGAUAAAAAAUUUAGCAGAAGAGUUUCAAUUCAAUUGAAUCCAUAUAGUUUUUUUUUUUUUUUUUUGUUAUUUCAAAGUCUUAUCCUUUAAGACCGAACAUAAACCCUCGACUCAAUAUGGAGAAGGACUUUUAAGCAGGAAAGAAUAAAACUUUGCAAUUUAUCAAACAUUCCUUGCACAGAUCCAAUUUAUGAAACAGCGCAGCGGAAUAACCAUUCAAAUUGAUCAUAUCAGUUGCAAGAUUGAUGAAAUUAUAACCCAGAAGCAUGUUUUGUUGGUUAAUGUUCUUAAUUGAAAAGGCCCAAUCGGAAAGAAAACCCCUUCCCUUGAAUUUGCAGAAAAUCCAACCGUAACAUCCUUUGAAAUUCAAACGGUCAUAUAUUUUCAAACAUGUUUUGUCGUUAUUCGCAAGGCAUUAUACUAGAACCUGUGUUCGAUUCCCCAACGCAACAACGAAGAUAUAUUUUUCUCAAUAUUAUUUAUGAUUUGGAACCUACUAGUUUUAAUCACAGAACUUAUAAUUUAUACGACCGAGAAUGGUAAAACGCGGCGUUUUGGAGAAAGGGCGUACCUUUGGCUGUUUCGUCGAUAUCCAUGUCCAUGUUUUGGAAGACUCUGCGAGGCACUUUUGAAUUAACGGCGGAAAAGCAACGGUUUCUUCUUCCACUGGGCUGGAAGCCUGAAGCUUCUAUUGCCGGUGCCUGGUGCUUGCGUAAUGGGACACAUGUCACACAUCGUCGACCCGAAAAUUGACAAGAUCCGAUUCGAUUUGGAUUUUAAUAUCCGUAUUUCAGCCUUUUUGCAAGUGCUAAUGCGUAAAUGAGAAGUAUUUUAUAAUCACGGGCCCCUUUAAAGAUGGGUUUGCUUUAAUUAUUGUUCUAAUUGUUUAACAUUGUUAUUUCGUAAGAAACUAGAAAAUGUGACCCGCGCGUUGCUGAAGGAAGUCAGACUCCUGCGUUGCUGCAACAUUGAAAAUUAUAACAUAUUAUGGUUAAAACAUAUAAAAGAUCAUGUAUCCAAUGAUUGUAGACCUAAUAAUCAUGCACUCAACACUGAACACCUAAAUGUCAUCAAACCAAAGUAAACUUUCAUUUAACUAAGUUAUUAGCACUUCAGUUAAAUCUCAAGUUAAAAAAAAAGUAGUUCAAUUUGACUAAAAUUACACGGAGGGAGAAAGACAGAACAAACAGUUGCUGAAAGGUGUACAACAACACUGAUCCUGCAAGUCAAAUAUGAAAAAUGUUCAAAAGAGUGUAAAAGCUCAAAUUAUUCCUAGCAUCAGUAGAUUAACAAUGAAGAAACAAAAUUCAUUUAAGUUUACAUUGCUUGUCGGUUGGCAAUUCAGCAUGGGAAAAAAUGCAAGAAAAAAAUAUUGUUAAAGCGAAUAAGUGAAUAAGAAUGAACAUUAUAUUUAGUAUAUCAUGAAUAUGCAUGUGCAUGGUAAAUACUAAGCAAGAAUAUGGAUAGGCAAACAGUAACUAUCAAUUAACCAUUUUAAUUAACACUUUAAAAAAAAUUGUUUUAAAGUAUAAAAAAUAUUAUUAAAAAAAUAUUCUAUAUACUAUACAGACACAAUGAGUGAAAAUAUAUACCAUUUGACAAUACAAAAUCAAGCAAUGUCUAAAGAUGAUAAACAGAUCCUAGAUGGUGUUUCUUACAGAAAGCAGAACCAUUAGAUCAUAUGCAUUGAAACAAUUAACAAAUUUUCAAUGGGCAAUACUAAAUGUUUAUUACUUAAGAUCAUUAAAUAAUGACUGCUCACCUUUUCAUCAACCAGUAUACAGCGCAGGCCUAUAUAUUUAUCGGUCGUUUCUGGAAUUCUCGCUCUCCACAUUGUACACAGGACUUGAAGUUUUACUGCCUUUUUAUACGGUUGUAACUGAUUGAUAGGUGUUGGAAUUGCAUCUUCCAUUCAAGCCACUGAAAUUAAAUACAAAUUUUGUAAAUUUGUAAACAGUCAUUACAGAAAGUUUAAAAUAAACGCUGGAACAACCAACAAUUUAUCAAUAGAAAUUUCAUAAUACUAUUGAUUUUGAACACAGAUAAAAAUAAAUAGAUAAAUAAAAUAUCAAAUUUAGUUUAGUCAGUUUAUAUUCAGUUUAUUGUUGUAUUUACGCUGACUAUGAAAUAAUCAUCAUGAAAUGAAAAACACAGAUACAAACCUUAUAUGUGUUCAUUUCUUUUUUUUCAUCAGACCAGUUUUCAUUCUCUAGCUAUUGAGUUUAAUUUUUCUUUCGAUUCACUAUGUAGAUGGGUUCAACCUCCCUUUGUUUUUCCUAGAUUUUUUUCACUGAAAUACAAACCUGUGUGAGUGCUUAAAAACCUGCAUUGGUUAUGGAUAUUAACAGUUGCAUAAUGUAUAUACCUGCAACAUUAGAGCAGAUGAGGAACAGUUAGUAUCAUCAAUAGUACUUGUCAUCAACAUGAACUUAUCAUCCAAAGCGGUAUUAAAUUUGUUUAAUUCUUCAUCACCUAUGAUAUAAAUGAAUAAUACAUCUCAAAAGAAUGAAAAAAAAAAUAUACACAAAAUAUAGUUAACAUUGCUUUGUAAUUUCAUAUCAAAAGGGCAUAAAAAGUUGGUUGAUUCAUUUGUGAACUAAAUUAAAAACAAACUUAAACGUUAAUUUACUAAUGAAGAGGUUGAUUAUUCGAUGAUAAACUUCACAUGCACGCAUUGUGUAUUUAAGGUGAGCAAUUUCAAAAUUUUAUACCUGAGGCACCUGGAACCGUACAUACGAAAGCGCAAAAAAAGAUAGCCACUGCUUCCUGAAAAUAAAAAAGAACCAAAUCAUAUAUACCCACUCUAAAAAUCCAAACACAAACACUAAUCCAUAAGUUAAUUAUAACCAAUUUUUUUUACAGAAAAUAGAUCCGCAAACGAAACACUACUGAAAUAAAUUCUAAAUUUUGUUCAACAAAAAAUUUAAGAGGAGGAACAUAAAUUAUAUACCUUAAUCAGAAAGGGCUUGCAACGUUUCCUGAAAUAAAAAACAACCAAAUCAUACACCAACACUAAAAAUCCAAACACAUAAACGAUGAACACUUGUCCAUGAAAAUUAAAACAACCAAAUCACACACCCACACUAAAAACCCAAACAGACAAAGGAAACCGUAAAAAUUAAUCAUCUGUAUUGUUCUUUUUUAGUAUUUUUAUAAAAAAAAAAAAAAAAAAAAAUUGAACCAGAAACGAAACAGGACCCAAAAAAAUUAAAAAUUUUGUUAAAAAAAAAGAUUUAAGAACAAAACAUAAAUUAUAUACCUCACCCAAAAAUGGCUUGCAAGCUCGUACGAUAAAACCCUAAAAUUCAAAGACCAAUGUUCCCUGCAACCAAAAUCGAAAUCAGAUCAAACAACCAUACACAAAGUACGAAAAAAUUAAGAAAACACUCGGUACAAAAUGCCUAGACUUGAAUUUUACACUAAUCAAUUCAAAAAAUUUCUUGCUAUCCAAACAGAAAAUAAAGAAGCGAAUGAAGCAACGCACCUAAAACGGUGCGAUUGGUUUCUGGAAAAGAGCAGAAAAAAACAGACGAACGACCUUUUUAGACGACCGGAUCGAAAUCUAAACGGAAAGACAGGCGGAGAGAUAUAGAGAGAGCAAAAGAAAAGGAAAAGACAGAAGAGAAGAGGAAAGUGAAAAGUGGAAAGUGGAAGAUGCUUCCAGCCAAAAAAUAAAACAACCAGCCUCUGAACAGAACCCCCCACGAUGAUCAACACGUGGAAGCUAGAGGUACCAAAAGCAGAGUCUAACCAAAAAUUAAAACAAACAAAGGCUAAGCAACAACAUUUAUGGGAGAGAGAGAGAAAACAUAAUAAUUAAAAAAUGAAUGGUAGGACAAACAAAUUAUUUAAAAAAUAGAAGUUAAAUCAGGCCACAUAGUUUGUGGCACACCAAACACUAAAAAAUUAUAAAAAAACUAAGGUAAAAACACAGAAACAGAGAGGAAGAGAAGGGAAAAGCAACGAAAGAAAAUGGAAGAGCCUUCGUGCACCUUCCCCACCAAAAACGACGCACACAGGUAGAGCACGUGACACAAUUAAUUCUCAUCUUCUCCCAACAGGCGAGAUGACAGGGAUGCAGGAAAGCAUGCGAGGGGAAGUCAGGACAGAAAAAGCGAAUAAAUAUCUCAAUUUUUAAUAAUUGUUUUGUCCAUGUAUCUAAUUUUUUUAUAAUUUUUUAAUGUGUUGUUUGCCACAAACCAUUGCAGGAUUUGAGUGGAAGACAAAAAAAAAGCAAAACCUAAAAAUAAAAUAACCUAAAGGCAAAGCAAUGAGAGACAGGCUUCUCAUAAAUUUUAAUAAUUAUUUUAUGCAUGCAUCUAAUUUAUUUAUAAUUUUUUAUUAUGUUUUGUGCCACAUGGAUCGAAGGUGAGAUGGCGACAGGGAUCACAGGGAAGCAGGAAGUCAGGAGAGAAAAAGGAAACAAAUACCUAGAAUCAAAAGGGUAAAACGGCAAAGCCGAGCAACACGCGGGUUAAAAAAAACAGAUAAAGGAAGGGGGUAAAAACGACAUUUCAUGUAGCAUCUUCAAAAUGCCAAAAAAGUGAGCGUUAGAUCAGGGGCAAAACCGGGUGAGCACUGUUAAUGAACAGUGUUUUUCCACCAACGUUUAGUAUAGAUAGAAUUUGUGAGGGCAUUUUCUUAUCAUAUUAGGUAUUUCAAUCGUCUUCCUGUGAUAAUAUUUUCUAUAAUUGUGUUAAAGCUUCCAGUAACCUACGACAUGGUAAAUCUAUAGAAAUUAUAAACUUGAUAAUUACGUUCAUAGCACAAAAGCCUAUACGUACAAUCGUGUUUACUUGGUGUACAAGUAAGGAUCUUUUCAAAUUAGAAAUAUAAUCAGAACCAAAUUACAAUAUUAAUUGCUAAACCUUAAGAGAGACGAUUUCCUUGAACAAGACUCCUUCUCUAACAUCCCAGCAAACUGAACAGGAUGAAAUGAACUUUUUGAGUACCAAGCUUAACAUGUUCACGAACAAAAUGAUAAUCUAACUUGUUUGUACCAUAUUUGACCAAUCCCGAAACUACUGAGCACCGGUCAACGUUAUACCAUCAAGGACCCAGAAGAGUUUCCCUCCAACCAGGAGGUCAAUCACAAUGCGACACGUGUCGACAUCAGAAGUCAAUCACAUCACGACACAUAUCAACAACAACACGACACGUGUCAAUGUCAAAACAAAGUUAGAAACUCUUCUAUAAAAGGAGAUCAUUCUCCCACAAUAUUUCCUAGUCAUUUGUACUAAAUCAUUCACUAGUACUCACUAAAGGAGAGCUUGAACCUAUGUACUUGUGUAAAUCCUUCACAAUUAAUGAGAACUCCUCUACUCCUUGGACGUAGCCAAUCUGGGUGAACGUAUAUCUUCUGUUUGCUUCCCAGUCCCUAUCCAUUUACAUACUUAUCCACACUAGUGACCGGAGCAAUCUAGUGAAGGUCACAAACUUAAUACUUUCUGUUGUACAAAGUCUUCACUGAUUUUGUGCCUCAACGUAACUCAAUAUGCUUUUGUUAAAUUAAUGUUUGGUUUUCAAUGCGAUUGCCGGAGCUUACAGUGAGAAUCUUCCAUUGAUUUGUAUAGUUGGAGGGCCGAACUCGAACGAUUAUGAGACGAACAGGAUUCUUCACCAUACUAUUGGGUUGCCGGACUUUAGCCAAGAGCUGAGAGGCUUUCAGACUGUAACUUGCUAUCAGGUUAGUAUGAAAUCAAGAUUUUGGCUUUUUAAUUUAUUUUGGAAGUUGAAUUUGAUGAUUUUUAUUGGGUUUUGUGAAAGAUUUGUAGUGAGUUUGGUUUUGCUAAAUGUGGAAUGUGGGUUUUUACUUGGAUGUGGUAAAUAAUCACAAGAAUUACCAUGUUUGGUUGUUUAUUUUCUUAUUCAAAUUUAAUUUCAAUGAUUGUUAUUGGGUUUUGAUAAAUUUGGUAAAAAAGUUCAUAGUGAGUUUGAUUUUGCUUAAUUUGGCAUGUGGGUUUCACUAAGCUGUGGUAAAAAAUCUGGAAGUUGUACAUGAAUUUACCAAGUUUGGUUUUGUAUUUGCCAUUUAUUUCAGUCAAUUUUUUUUUUUGGGUUUUGAUGGAUUUGUUGAAGAAUUCAUAUUCAUUUGAUUUUGUUAAAUUAAUGUUUGGUUUUUUGCACUUUCCUGGUUCGUUUUUUAAAGUUUGCUAAUUUUGGUAUGUGGGUUUUUACUAGGCUGUGGUGAAUAAUCUGGAAGAUGCGCAUGAAAUGAUCGAUACCGCAAUUUCAACUGCUUUGAAAGAAAGCAAGCCUGUUUAUAUCAGCAUAAGCUGCAACUUGGCUGGAAUUCCUCAUCCUACAUUUAGCCGGGAGCCUGUUCCAUUUUCUUUAUCUCCAAAGUACACAUUUUUGGGUUUCUGAUUCCAUUUGGUUGAACCGUUCUGGAAAUGCUUAUUUUAGGUGUGAAAUUUAUAUGUUUGUUUGUUUUGGUCUGCAGAUUAAGCAAUAAUUUGGGCUUAGAGGCUGCGGUGGAGGCGGCUGCAGAGUUCUUGAACAAGGCAGUGAAGCCGGUUAUGGUUGGUGGGCCUAAACUUCGAGUUGCACAUGCCGGCGAUGCCUUUGUUGAACUUGCUGAUGCUAGUGGUUAUGCUCUGGCUGUCAUGCCAUCUGCAAAGGGGUUUGUACCAGAGCACCACCCCCAUUUUAUUGGAACAUACUGGGGUGCUGUGAGCACUGCCUUUUGCGCCGAGAUAGUGGAGUCCGCAGAUGCAUACUUGUUUGCUGGACCGAUUUUCAAUGACUACAGCUCUGUUGGAUACUCUUUGCUUAUCAAGAAGGAGAAGGCCAUUGUGGUGCAGCCUGAUCGCGUGACCAUAGCAAAUGGCCCUUCAUUUGGUUGUGUUCUUAUGAAGGAUUUCCUCAGAGCUCUUGCAAAGAAGCUCAGGCACAACAACACUGCUCAUGAGAACUACCGCAGGAUCUUUGUUCCCGAUGGACACCCUCUAAAGUCUGCACCGAAAGAACCUUUGAGGGUUAACGUUCUGUUCCACCACAUCCAGAAUAUGCUGUCAAGUGAAACUGCUGUGAUUGCUGAGACAGGGGACUCAUGGUUUAACUGCCAGAAACUGAAAUUGCCGGCUGGCUGCGGGUAAGCCAAGGAGAGAAUG
rnacentral:lncRNA from 1 species